CGCCGGUCCAACCGGCUAGAAUGUUGACCCCUGGAGCUAUAAAAUCCGGUUUGAGAAUGUUGGGCGUGAGAGCGUUGGGUCCUCUGGAGCUGAAAGCCGCCACCACCGGAGAAGGUUUAACCUCCAAUUGGGUCCCUAAGAAAGCAAUCUUAGCGGUGGGAUUAGCCGAAGAAGAAGCGUAACUCUUGAGAAUCUGGCUUGAUUUUUGACCCAGCGAUGCAGCAGGAAGAAGAUGAGGGUCUGUAACUAACUCUUCCCCAAAAGCUUCAUUGUUGGCCAAAAUCAUUCCAGCACCACCCGCAAGCUUAACCACCAAACCCUUCUCCACUCUCGGAUUUCCCCCUCUCUCGCAUAUCACAAUCUUCCCUGAAACCUUCUCAGGAAUGAGAGAGUCUUGCAGGCAAAGAUACCCAACAGAAGAGUUACUCGCGUUGCCGGCGUAAACGAGAGGAAGCGGAGAAUCCAAAACCGGUUUACCGUUAUAAAGCGACGCUCCGGCGUAGGUUUUUCCAUUUCCGAGGGUUAUGAGAGCAGGGAAAUCGCGGUCUAAAGUUCCCGCUCCCACUGUGGUUACCCACGGCGACACGUUGGAUAACGUUGAUGAACUGGGCCCAGCGUUACCUGCUGACAUGGAAACCAAAAUCCCAUGUGACGUGGCAGUGAAGGAACCAAUCGCGAUUAUGUCUCUGUAAUACUCCGUCAAGCUUCCCCCAAUCGACAUCGAUAAAACGUUCACGCCGUCUUCUAUGGCCUUGUCGAUCCCCGCAGCUAUGUCGGAAGAAAAACACCCACCGAGCCAGCACACUUUGUAAGCCGCCACGCGCGCCUGCGCCGCCAUUCCGCGCGCCGUGCCUGACGCCAAACCGAAUAAGCUAGCUUCGGGAACCACCGAACCUGCAGCUGUGGUGAGCGUGUGACUCCCAUGCCCCUCGUCGUCUCUCGCUGACUUUGACUCCGUACUCAAGUCAACAGGUCCAAGAGCGGACUCGUAGCCUUUGGAGAAAAACCUGGCACCCACGAGUUUUCUGUUGCAGUGUGAGGAGUUCAUGUUGUUGCCAACUUCACACUCGCCUUUCCACGUGGCGGGCACCGGGCCCAGGCCCGUGUCGUCGAGGCUCUUCAGCUCGGGCCAAACCCCGGUGUCAAGGACUCCGAUGAUGACCUGGCUCUGUUGCUCGGACGCGGGUAGGAGCGUGGUGCUUUGGUCGAGCCCCAGGAACUGCGGUGUUCUUGUGGUGUGGAGUUUGUAUCGAUGUUCUGGGGUCACUGAGAGGAUUCCCGGUUGGUUCGCGAGUGUCUCUGCUUCUUUGGGUGUGAGCCUGGUGGAGAAGCCGUGAGCCACAUGUUUGUAGGUGUAGAGGAUCUCUGCGGAGGCUGAAACUGAUUUGAGGGAGGAGUCGAACCAGUUAAGGUGGUCGGAGAAAGUUGAGGGCAUGGUGGACUUGUCCAUGUGGAUUAUGUAGGUCUUUUUGGCAAGGAAUUGUGUCUGUUUUUCUUCUGCUGUGGUGUUGCCACUGCUAAAGAGGGUUGUGAGAAGCAGCAGAAGAAGAAGAAGGGUUUGCAGGGACUUCAGAGUGAGCUGCUUCAUUGCUCUGUUUGUGGUUGUUUUGCUGAAUUGUGGGGUUGUGUUGGGUUUGAUUCAGGGAUUUGUGAGGUAUUUAUUGUUGAGUUCAAGAUAUGGUAACGCUUGAAUUUGAGCAUAUGGAUAGAGAUUGUUUCACUGCCAUAAGAAUAUAAGAGUUUAUAAAAACAAUAACAAAUUAUUUUCUGUUACUUUAUUAAAUGUCCCUCCAUCUUUUUUUGGUGUCUCAAUUUCACUUUUCUUUUUCUCACACUGCACAACAUGCUUAUUAAGAGGUGCGAAAAUUGGUUGAGAAGAUGCAAAUCUCUUUGUACCUCUCUGUUUUCAAUCGUAUAACCUGUUAAAUCUAUCUUUUUUCCAUGGUUUUUUCCUUCUAUUCUGAAGCACUCAAAAUGGGGUAGAUUGAGAUAUAUUAUUCUCCAUAAUUUUUUUUGUUGGAAUUUAGCGUUUAUAGAAAAGUAACUGCUUUUUUAAAAAAAAAGAUUAAAAAAAGCAAGUUAGUUCUCUCUUUUUUGAAGGAGAAACAUAGGUGCGGUGCAAAAGUCUGGACAGGUAAGGAGACAAAGUAGUUUUUCCCAUGACGUCAUCAUCGUACUUUAUUUUAAACUUUAAAAAAUUAUAUAUGUAAAACUUUAAACAAAUAUACAUGCUUUUUAUGAAAAUGAAUAGUUGAAUUACUGUCAACUCACCACUAAAAAGAAUUUCUACAGGAUCGAAAUUCUCUUCUUUAUUUAAAAAGAAAAAGUCUUUAACUCAGAAAAAAAAAAAUUUAACAACAAAUUAUGUCUUUCUUACUCUUUAGUCUAGCAAUGAUACAUAUAUUUAAGAUAAGAAAACACAUAUCUAUAUAUUAUAUAAAUUGAUAAUAAAUAUUUAUCUGUAAAAGUAUAUUUUAUAUUUUUUUAAACAUGAAGUUUUUUUCAUGAUUAAUUCAAAAGAAUUUGAUUUUUUUUUAUAGUUAUAAUAAAAAAUUAUACAAUAAAUUUAAGUUUUUCAAAUAUUAUUAUAUUUAUCAUUUUUAAAAUUAUGUGAGAACCAUGUUAAAAUUUUCAGAAAUCCAACAAAUAUUUUGUAAAUUAAACACUUCACCGAUAAAUAUCCUACAAGUGUCGUACGAAUAUUUACACAGAUACGUGUAUCAGACACGGACACACCAUUUAAAAGAAGUGUCUAAUUCAAGUAGUUAUAUUUUAAAACAUCAUUCUAGAGAUAUCUUUUAAUUGUUCUACGUGUAUAAAGUUUAAUUAAAUGUUUUUUUUAAUAAAGGCUAAAUAUAAAUUAUAUAUGAUUUAAAUGAAUUAUAAAAACUAAUAUAUACUUGAAAAACACUGAUGAGAGUAGAUUUGGAAGACAGUGAAUCUAUUUUCUUCAACACAAAUCUUUGUUAUUUUUAGUCUUAUAUUCCUUCUCUCUGUUAAAGUGUUAAUAGGAAUAUAAUAGGGAUGAUGCGAUAUUGAUUAGUCGAAAUGAGUAAAAGAAAAUUGUAUAAAAUAUUAAAAUAUAAAUUAAAAAACAAAAGGCCUUCCAUUCCAUUUUAUUUUAUUAACAAAUAUUUUAUACCUUUAUUUUUUUAUGUAAAAAUCAACGUUAUGCCACAUUUAUGUUAAUUAUUGGACAAACUUUGACACCAUACACUUAACAUUAAGAUUUAAAGAACUAUAAAGACUAAAUAUUAAAAAACCUUACAAUCAACUAAAACAGGGGUUAAGAUUACAAUUAAGAAAAAUUGUUUUGACCUCAUACUUUACUUUUUUAGAACAGUUAAUCAAUUAUAAUAAAAUCAUAGCUAUUUUUUUUAAUUGUAUAAAAUUAUUUAUUAUUCUCAUUCUUUUGAUAACGAAAUUGAAUUGGAAUUUAUUGUAACAUUAGUGUUUUAAGAUUAUAGUCGAAAUAAAUAUUUUGAAUUAAUCAUAGUAACCAUUUAAGCUUAAUUUCUUAAUUAAGUAUACUUAAUUAAGUAUACUUGUUACUUCUUAAUUAUGUUAUCUUUUUUAUCAAGUAAGUAGUUUUUUUUAUAGAUAGUUUGAUAACAUUUUGGAUAAACAGUAAAAUUCCAUUAACUUGAUAUACUUCAUAACUCAUAUUUCUCAUCUAAAGCUGAAAUUUUCUCACCUACCUGAUAAGUAUGGUUUUGUCGAGAAGUAAGUAAAAUCUAACAAAUGAUUGCUUUUAUUAAUUAUUCAUUCGAGUACUCUGUUGUGUGUGGGUUUAUCUUUUUCCUUUUUUUAUCAAACCACUUAAGAAAAUUAUGAUAAAUAGUUGGAUCAGAAUUUGAGUAAACAAUCGAAUUCUUUUAAUUUAGAUAUAUUUAUAAAAUUAUGAUAAAUAGUUGGACGACCAUUUGAAUAAAUAAUGGAAUUAUUUUAAUUUAAAUAUAUUUAUAAAUGAUAUUUUUUAGGAUUAAAUAUGUAUUUUUUUCUAGUACAUGAAUAUUUGUAAUAAGAAAAAUUAUUGAAAUGAAUUUUUACUAAUUUUUUUACUUAACUAUAUUGAAUAUUAAAAUAUUUUAUGUUUAUUUAUUGUUUAUGUAGAUAUUAUAAUAAAUAAGAAUUUGUUUGUUAUAAAAAAAAUACUAAUAAAGACUUAUUUUAAUAGUUUUUUUAUUACAAACAUUUGAAAAGUCUAAAAUUUGAACUAAAAAUAAAAAUCAAUUUUGUAUUAUAAUAUAAAAAAAUUAUUUACACUACAAUAAAAUCCUGAAAUAGAAAUCAAUUUUAGAGAUAGAAAAUAAUUAGUUGUUAUAGUGACUAAAUUAGAGACCAUUUUAGAGACUAAAAAAAUCUUUUGGUUUCUAAAUUAGGUUCUAUUAUUGUUAGAUGGUUAGUAACCAAGGUUUUUGCUACUAAAUUUAGAAUCUAAAUAAUUGGUAGUUAAAAUCUUUGUAGCUAAUUAGAUACCAAUUUAGAAACCAUUUAACAAUAAUAUAAACUAAUUUAGAAACCAAUUUUUUUUUAGUUUCUAAAAUGGUCUCUAAUUUAGUUACUAUAGCAACUAAUUAUUUUUGUCUCUAAAAUUGAUUUUUAUUUCAUGAUUUUAUCGUAAUGUUAAUUCUAUUUUUUAAUAUAUAAAAUCGGAUUUUUUUCGUCAUUUUAACACAGAGAUUACCAAUUGAACUAGUUAUAGCUUGAUUUUGUAACAAAAGAAAAAGACAAUGAUUAGAGAUAGAAAAAAAUAUGUCGAUAUCUAGCAGUGAUUGAGACUUAGGUCUCACUUGGUGGAUAUUAAUUAUGUAAAUGGUUAGCAAUAAUUAUAAAUAAUAAUCUGAGCUGUAUAUUCUUCCAUGAAGCUUUUGGAGAAAGAAAUUGAAGAGGUGGCGUCCAAUGAAUGAGAAAUGAAAACACAAGAUUCUUCUUCUUUUUGACAACUCUGGUCAGGUCGGUUGUGUCAAUUUCAGAUUAUAAGUCCCUUUCAUUUAUUUAGCUGGUGAAGAUAACAAGGAUUAAGACAAACACUAAUUAUCUGAUGUAAGCAUUUUCUACCAACCAUCCACUGAUUUCACACACAAAAAAGAAGAUUUCGAUAUAUUUUAAAAUACCUUUUCUAAUAACAAAAUAGUGAAUAAAACUUUCAUCUUUUUUAUAAACUUUCAAACAAACUUUCAUAUCAAAUUAUUGUAAUAAGGAUUUGACAAGUGUUUGGUUACACUUGAGGAUGAACUUCUUAAUACUCUAGUUGGAAACAUAUAAGUAAGCAUAAAUGAAAAACAAACCUCUUAUACAACACUACACGAAAAUCAUGAAAUAAAAAUUAAUUUUAGAGAUAAAAAUUAUUUAGUUGCUAUAGUAACUAAAUUAGAUACCAUUUUAGAGACUAAAUAAUUUUUUAGUUUCUAAAUUAGUUUUUAUUAUUGUUAAAUGAUUUCUAAAUAGGUAUCUAAUUGUAAAUCAAUGUUUUUGCUACCAAAUUUAGGAACUAAAUAAUUGGUAGUUAAAACCUUGAUUGCUAAUUAGAUACCAAUUUAGAAACUAUUAAACAAUAAUAAAAACUAAUUUAGAAACCAAUUUUUUUUUUUAGUUUCUAAUAUGGUCUUUACUAUUGCAACUAAUUAUUUUGGUCUUUAAAAAUUAGUUUCUAUUUGAUAGUUUUCUUGUAGGAAAAGGGUGGGUAAGCCAAUAUUGUUGUCAUAUUUUGAACAUAUAUUUUAAGUAUUAGUAUAUUUCUUUUAUAAAAAAAUAUACAUAUGAGAAAUAUACUUUUUAAUUAUUGUAAUUAUAUUUUACAUCCAUCUAAUAUUUUCAUCCUUUCUUUUAGCUAUAUAUUACUUUAAUAAUUAUAGUAUAAGUUUUUUCUACCCACAUUAAUUAUAAAAAAUAAUAUUUAAUACAUUCUAAAAAAUAUUAAAAAUUAAUUUAAAGAUAAAAAAAUAAUUAAUUAUUAUAUUGACUAAGUCAAAUACUAUUCUAUAAAAUAAAAAAUUAUUGAUAUUUAAAAUAAUUUUUAUUAUUAAUAACUUUUUUUUUAAAAUUUAAAAUUUAAUACUAAUUUAAAAAUUAUUUUAUAAUUUUUUAUUAAUAAUACAAAUUAUUUUAUAUACCAAUAAUUUUUUUAAUUUAUAAAGCACUAUUUAACUGUUAAUAAUAUGAUAAUUAAUUAUUUUUAGUUUUUUAAAUUAGUUGAUAUUUAAUGAUUUUGUGGUAGUGAUAAUUCAUAUUAAAAACUUAUAAAUUUAGAAUUUUUAAAAUUAAAAUGACCAUAAGUUUUUAGAUGAAGGUGGUGUGAGAGUGUUGAUAAAUAAUGUUAAUUUAGAGAAGAAAAUGGAGAAAGCAGAAAAAUGGUUUAAUGAUUGAUAAUAGAGACGUAUGAGAGAGAGUUUGUAAAGUUGUGUUAAUUAGCUGGAGAGGACCUACUUCUUAUUAAUGCUAAACACGUAGGUUAAGCAAUCUCCUAUCUAUACUUAAUGUUUUGAUUAAACAAUUCGACACUUUUGACUACUCAAACACUUCACCAAUAAUUCAUACCCAAACAAUAAUCUACUUACUUAUGUGGCUAUGCUUCACAAAUAGCUCAAGUUAAUUUUUUUAUUCGUAUCAAUGUCCUAGGAUAAUUAAUUAAAAGUGUACUUUUUUUUUUCGAAAUUAAGUUGUAAAAUAUAUCGUUUAAUGGAAGACAUUUUUCAAUGAAAAUCAUUUUCAGUUUAGAAUCCUAAAAUGUAAGUGAGCAUUUGUCUUAAUUUAGUUUAGAUUUAAAUGUUCUUUACAUCAUUCUUUUUUAAAUUUUAGAUAGUGUGAUGGUUGUCAAUGAAAUCAUUAAUGAGGUUAGGAGAAGGAAGGAGGAGUGUGUUAUCUUAAAAGUAGACUUUGAAAAGAUGUAGGAUUUAGUUAAUUGAAAUUUCCUAAUAUAUAUGAUGGGUACACUAGGUUUCUGUUCUAAGUGGACCCGAUGAAUAAAGGGGUGUUUGAAGUCUUCUUACGUGUUUUUUUAGUUAAUGGAAGUCCUACAGAUGAAUUUAGGUUAGAAAAUUUUAAUAUAAACAUAUUAGAGUUGUUGAGAAUCUUAAAUCAUAAGAAGAAGGUAGUAUAAACUUUUAUUCCUUUCAAUAAUAAAAAAUACUUUAAAAAAGUUAUUAACAAGUUUGGAAUGAUAAAGUUGAAAUCUAUUUUCAAGCUCGAACAUUAUAAGUUAAGUGAUAGAUAGUCUCCUCGUAUGAUGGAAUACCAAUAUUAUAUGAAUUCAAUUGUAUAUGCAAGUAUUGUUAGUUAUGUGAUGUAUGCAUGAUUUACACUCAUCUUGACGUAUUGUAUGUUGUGAGUGUUGAUGGCAUUUUCAUGUUAAAUUUUGGACAAAUUUAUUUAUUGUUUGUUAAGUGGAUCCUAAAGUACCUGAAUGAAUACUUGGUACUAUUCUAGUUUACGGUGGAGUUGAAGGAAGACGAAAUAUGUUGUCAUAAAAAAAAUUGUAAACUGGAAUUAUGUUGGGUGUUUGGACACCAAAAUAUCUUUCACGGAAGAGUGUUUACUACGUUUGUGUUUAUAACAUAUGGUACAAUAAUUAGUUGGAAUACUAGUCUAUAAAAGGAGUGAGGUUUUGUCAAUGGUUGAGACUAAGUAUAUUGUCAUGAUAAAAGUCGUGAAGGAAAAAUUAUGGUUGAAAGGAAUAACUAUAGUUGAAAGGAAAUAAUUGGAAAGUUGAGAGUUCCAAACCAAGUUAUUGUCGUCUACUAUAAUAACAACAUAUUCAUAUAAUUUCUAAAUAACUAAGUUUACCAUGAAAGAAUAAAAUACACUAAUAUCAAGUUGUAAUUUUGUAAGACAGGGGAUUCCACAAGGGUUCGUUUUAACAUAUUAUAAAGUUUUACCAAACAGCAACUUCUUUCACUAUUUGAAUUUGUAUAAUAUUAUUUAUGAACAAGUGAAAAUUUGUUGAUAUUAACUCAAUAAAUAAGUUUGUAUUAACCCUAAACCCUAAACUUGAUCUAAUUACACAAGAUUUUGAUAUUUUAUUAUUUUAUUUUAGUUCUUUAAACCUUUUUUUCAUUUUAAUCCUUAUAAUAUUUUGUUUAUUUUGAAUUAGUCUUUUAUUAAAAAGAUUUAGUAGGGAUUAAAAGCAAAUGAUCUGCAUAGGGCUUACAAAAUAACAAAGAUGAUAACGAGAAAAAUUUACAAGAAUCAAAGGUUAAACAAAAACAUUAGUUAAUAAAAUAAAACAUGAUUUAUAUUUUGGGAACUAAAAACACAUUAUUUUUAAAAUUACAUUUCAAUAUAUAUAAAAUUUGUAAUAGAAUGAAUUUAAACAUGUAGCCCAAUUUCAUGUAAUAAUUUUUUAAAAAAGUAUUGAAUUUAAAAAUGCAAACUUUCGCCUGUGCAUUACACUUUUCUCACUUUAAGUAUAGGAAAAAGUUUAUUUUGACAGUGAAACAGUAAAUAGAUACAUUUGAAAAACAAUUAUAAUAAUGCAUAUAAUUAAAAUAAUAAUUUAUUAGUAUCAUCGAGUUGGUUCGAUAAUAUUGAAGGUGUCUUUUUUAUUUAUAUAUUUUGGAAAUAAAUAAAUAAAAAACUAUGUGAGCUCAAGCCAUCUACGUGAACAACCAACAAGUUUUUUUAACAUGGAUAGUAAUAUUUUGAUAUCUACCAAAUAAAAAAAAGUUCAUUUGACAAUUUAAAAUAUUUUUUUUUAAUUUAAAUUUUUAACAUAUAUUAUUGUGUUAUUAAAGUUUUUAUAAAGUGGAUAUAAUUUUUUGAAGGAGUUUCAAACUAAUACUUUAGUUUCUACACACUGUAAUGUUGAUUUUAUUGGAGGUCAACAUCAUUAAAAAAUGAAGCAGUGAUUAAUGAGAAUGAUGUGAACACUUAGACCAUUCUCCCCUCAUCAUUUCAUAUCUCUUUCUAAAUGGUCAAUUGUUGUCGAACCAGUCUCAAUCAUAAACAGUUUCAGAGAAAAUGAUAAAAAAGAACUAAGCAUUCAAUUAAUUUAUGAUAAUUUCUUUACGACAAUCAAUUUUAAGACACGAACACAUCCAUAAUAGAAAAUGACUUAGAUGUUUCAUAUGUCACUCACUUUAUGGAUAAGCCUAUACCGGCAGAGAAUACAAAUUCUAAAACUAACUAUUUUUUUUUUAAAUAUUUAUGUUGUUAGACAGUCUAGAAAUAACCAUUUUUUUUACCUGCAAAUUUCUCAGUUUUUUAUUCGAUUUUGGACUUUCCGCUACAUAGUUGAUUGAUUUGGGUUUGUAAUUGGAUAUAAAUGGUAGAAUUUUGGAAUUUGGUUGGAUUAACUAGAACUUCCAGUCUUUGAUCUCAGUGAGUAUACUUGUAAAGAGCUCUGAUGAUAAAAUCUCACUCAAUUCUAGUUAAUUAUACGAUAAAAUUAACUAUAUUUACCUCUUGGGUUGAUCACCUAUUUAUAGUAUUUUCUUAUUGGGUUUUAGACCCAAUUGAAUAUUUACUUUGUGGACCUUGUAUAUAUUAAACAUAUUGUCUUUAUUUGAGUCUAUUCAAUGGAUUUUGCUACAAUAUUUUACUAUUUAAUUAUUUAUUUAUUUCUGUUUAAUAUUUAAUCUUAUUUUCAACAUUUUGCCCAUUCGACCCAAACCUUUCAUCUUUUGACCAUUCACCCUAAACAGUACAAGUUAUAUUGAGAUUCAAAGGUAUUAAUAUAUUAUCUCAAAUUUCACAUUAGUUUAAAACCAAAAGACUAAUCAAUGCUAAAGAUUAAAAAAUAUCGACAUUUCGUUGUAUAUAAGUAAAUGUAAAUUUUACUUUAUAAUUUAAAGUUUUAUAAAGUUGAUUUAAAUUUAAAAUUCAAAAGUUGAUAGGUCUCAAAAUGAAAUAUGUGUAUGUUAAAGAUUAACACUGACACACAUUAAUUAGAGAUAAUAACAUUUUAUUGUAUAUAGUGGGUGUAAAAGUCAUUUUAUCUUAUAAACUCUGAUAUUAUAAGAUUGAGUUAUACUUAAAGUUGACAUUUUAAUAAAUAAAUUUCUUAUAUAAUUUAAAAAAUUAUAAAAAGAUGAAGGUUAUAAUUUUUACCAUGAAAAAGAAAAAAAAAGGAUUAAUAAUAUAUGCAUAAAGGUCAUUUACAUAUCAUUCAACUUUUAAAGAAAGUUUUCAAUCACAAUUUUGGUUGCAUGAUUCACACUAAUAAUACUAAUAAUAAUUUCUGAUUAAUUGAUAUACAGAGAAUAUAUUGUUAUCAAACUAAAAGUUAAAUAAAGCUUUUAUUGAUUACUAAGAUGACUAGGAAAACAAAUUACAUAAUAUUCCAUUACUGACAAAAACAGGUUUGAAAAUAACUCCCACUCGUGUAUAUAUAUCCAAUCAACCAUAAUAAUUUGCAUGACUUUUCAACAACUCAUUUUCAGACCAUUCCAAACAAAACUAUUAAAAAUGUCAAACAAAUUUAACUACGCAUAAAGGAACAGUAGUUCAAAUCUGAAAAUAUGUGAUUCACCAUAUCUCAAUUCUCAAAUACUAUAUAUGUUCCUGCUAGGGAGAUGAGACCUAGAGAACUGUUGAAGUCUUCUUCUCCUUUCUUCGGUCGGGCAGGUGGCUGAGUGAUGAACUGGGAUCCUUCUCUUCCUUCUGCUUACCUUUCGGCACUCGGGACUCGGUCGUCGGGUGAACACCGGAUGGUGGGGGUACCUGCGAAGGCACUCCGACGCUCAAGUCAGUAAAGCGGGUGGUUAGCUCUCAGGUAGGUGAACAGUAAUAAUGACAUACCUUACUCCUUGAAAUGCGUGCUAUUUAUAUUAUUCUAGUGGGCCUACCUUGUUGGGCCCGUUUAUCGAGGUGGAUACCGCUUAGGGUUGCAUUACCUAAUUCUUGAUGAUGGAUUAACUUCACUGAUCUCGGUCUGAGCGUUAAUUGUAAUGGGGUUCGGCCAUCAGCCAAAUUCCCACGGUGCGGGUCUGCCAUCGGCCAAAUCCCUGUGGUUUUUGGCGGUUUCGGCCAAGCCUUCUAAGGUCUCGGCCUCUCGGCAUAAGUCUUCAAAGGCUGCGGCCUCUCGGCACAAGUCUUCAAAGGCUUCGGCCUCUCGGCACAAGUCUUCAAAGGUUUCGGCCCACGGCCGGUCGGCCAAGUCUUCAAAGGUUUCGGCCUCUCGGCACAAGUCUUCAAAGGCUUCGGCCUCUCGGCACAAGUCUUCAAAGGUUUCGGCCCACGGCCGGUCGGCCAAGUCUUCAAAGGUCUUGGCCAGGUUCUCAUGGUCUCGGUCAGGCUGACACGGCAUCGGGCAGCCGGGUGGGUCCCGAUCUCUCCCCGUACCGGUACAAUAUAUAUUCUUAAAAAAAUUAUUAAAUAAAAUUCAAAUUUAAAUUGAAAAAUAAAUAAAUAAAUAAUUAAAUUAAAUAUUAUUUUAAAAAUUAAAUAUAUUAUUAAUAAAAAAUCAUAAAAUAAUUUUAAAAUUCACAUCUAAAUUAGUUAUCAAAGUUUUAUCCACUAAUAUUUUAGACUAUAAAUUAGUUUUUAAGAGAUUAAUAGAAACUAAUUUAGAAUAUGAAUAAUUAGUAGAUAAAAUCUUAUAGCUAAUGAUUAGAUAUUAAUUUAAUUUUUUUUUAUAAUAUUUUUAAAUAUUAAUAAAUUUUUUAAUUUAUAAAAUAAUUAUUAAUUUAAUUAAUAUAGUGACUAAUUAUUUUAGUCUUUUAAAUUAAUAAAUAAAUACUAAAAAUUAAUUAUAUUUAUAAAUAUUAAUAUCUAAACAUAAGUCGAUAUUAAAUAUUGGACUGUUUAGUUUAUUAUAAUGUUAUUUCGAGAUGUUAGAAUUUGCUUUCUUUUUUAUAUGUAAAAAUUAGAAAGCAUUAUCAUCGAAUAUCUCGUAUUAAAGUGCUAAAUAUAUGGUAGUUAAUACGUCACAUAGACAAAAAGGAAAUGGACAAAAACCAUUUUGAACCACUAAUACAAAUGGUGUUUUGUGAGGACCUUGUUUUUUACAGAAUUGACAUGGAACAAAGCUUAAAAAUUCAUUUGACACUUAAAAAACUUAUUAUUUUAUUAUAAUAUAAUAUUUUACUCAAAAAAAUAUUGUAAAAUUUACAGUUAGAGUGUUAAAAAAACUUUAAUAUAUGAAUUAAAUAGAAUGGAAAAGUAUUUAUUUAAGAUGCGAUAUGAAUAAUAUUCUAUGCAUAAAGACCCUUGCACAGUUCACAUAUUAUACAGUAUUUUGGAGUGAUAGAACUGAAUUAUAAAUUGAGGACAAAAGUUUGAUUCGACAGAAAGGUAUGAUGACAGGGACAACCCCAGAGGAUAAACGAAUAUAAAGUACCUCCACCUUUUUUGGAGUUAUAAAUUUCUAAAAGAUUAAAUAUGCUAUCCAUACAAAUUUAAAUUUAUAAAGGUGAAAAAAUAAAAUGAUAGAUGUUCCUAUCUUAAAUCUAUUAAAUCUGAAUCCUGCAUUUGAGAUAUUGUAAAAACGUUUUAAAUUAAUUAAAAAAUAAAUGUGUAUUUAAAUGAUUAUUGAUCUCAAUUUUAAACAAAUAUGAUACUAUCAUUACAAGAAAAUAAAAUCCAUAAUAAUUAGUUACAAUAAUAAUUAAAUUAGAGACUAUUUUAGAAACUAACAAAAAAUAUUAAUUUCUAAAUUAAUUUAUAUUAUAAUUAAAUAAUUUUUAAAUUAGUAUCUAAUUAACAAAUAAGGUUUUAAAAAUCAAAUUUAAAAACUAAAUAAUUAGUAGGUAAAAUCUUGAUUGAUAAUUAGAUACCAAUUUAGUUACUAUUACAACUAAUUAUUUUAGUUUCUAAGUAUUUUAGUUUCUAAGUAGUAUAUAUUUUGACAUUACCAAAACCAAAACACUCGAUAUUUUUUAAGAUAAUAAAUUCACAGUGGAGAUUAUGCAGAAAUAACACUGGUAAAGAGUUUCAAAAUACCAUGAACAAAGCACUUGAAAGAAUUAGUAAGUGUGGAUCACCUCAAAAUAUUUAGACCACAUGUUUUUUUUAUAUGUUGAUUAUUACAAUAAUAAUUGAUGUCGAAGAUUAAAUAUUCACUAUGAUUAAUAAUGAUUAAUGAAAAAAUAUUGAAAGUCCGUUUGCCUCUUGAAAAAUAAAAUAAAUCUUGAAAAAUAAAAUAAAAAUGUUAAUGUGUCUACUGAGAAAUUUUUGUAUUUCAAAAAAUUAAUUCUAUAAUAUUUUGAAUUACGUAAUUUGAUUUUUUUUUAAAUUUAUAAUUAGUUAAUUUUUGGAUUAACUAAUUCAGAAGUCUUGAGAUUAGUUUCUGAACUAUAUAAUCUAAAAACAUUUUUUUUCAUAUACUUAUUAAUUUAUGAAUUAUAUAAUCCGAAAGUCUUUUCUAGAUUUGAAAAUAUCUUAUAAAUUAUGUAUCUAGAAAAGAUUUUUGGAUUUUGUAAUUCAGAAUACAAAUUUUUUAAAAAAAUAUUUCAGAUUACAUAAUUUGUACGUUAUUUUUGAAUCCGAAAUUAACUUUUGAAUUAUGUAAUCCAUAAUAUAAGAUUAACUUUUGGAUUAUGUAAUCCAUAAUACGUGUACUUUUUUUAAAUUGUUUCCGAAUUUUAUAAAUUUAUGUGAGUGACACAAUAAGAAUAAAAAUGUAUUUUCAUGUUUUAUAUGGGGUGGUACAAGAAUAUAUGGAGGUGCAGGAAGAAGCUUGCAUUAAAUGCAUGGUUGGUUUUUUUUGGGAACAAAAAGGCCCAAACUUCAUUGCUGAAAAGUGUGGACUGCUGCAACAGUAUACGUCAGGAAAGUCCCUGCUGAGUUAAUAUACUUUUAGUUCAUGAAAUUUGAAAUAGAUUUGUUUAUUUUGUCUUCUAUAUUUUUAAAAAAUUUAUUUGAAAAAGUUAUUUUAACCCGUCUAUCCGGUUAAUGACUUCACUUAAAUAUCUAAUAAUUUAUAAAUUAGCAAUAUAAUGCUCUAUUUUGACUUUACAUACUUAUUAUAAAAUAUUUUAUCGUUUUACUUUUUUUUUCUACGUGUUUAUUUUGAUCAUGUUUUAAGAAAAAAUUGUUUGAAAAAAGUUCAAAUUACUAAAAAUAAAAUAAUUCUAAAUCCGAAAGACAAAAAAUAAAUUUACUCCAAAUUUAAAGAAUUAAAACAUAUUUAAACAUGAUUUGUUAUCGGUAAAACAUAUUAUUUCUUUAAAAUGUUAAUUUGAAUCCCAAAAUAAGUUGAAUAUUUUUUUUUUAAUUCUUACACUUAAAACAAAAACAUGUUUAGAAACAUUUCACCGAUACCUUUAUUUAUUUAUUUGUUAUUAUUAUUAUUAAAUAAUAAUAAUACCUAUAAGUAAAUUACAGAAAUAUUGCGUGAAAUUCUUUCAAACAUUGACCGCGCAUUUUUGUUUUGUUUUAAAAUCUACAUAAAUCUAUUUUAUUCUAAAAAUAUUACACUUACCCGCUUUAAAAAUAUUACAUUUGCACCCUUUUAAAUUUUAGAACAUUACACAUACACUCUCAAGAAAAAUUAUUGAAAUAAAAAAAAGUAAAAGAUGUAAAGAGUAUUUCUUUCAAAAUGAAUUUCUAGAAAUUACAUUGUGAAAAAUAUUAUAACCGGAAUAUUAUUCUCAAGUGUAUAUAAAAAAGAGUUUAGUUACCUUUUUAUGUUUCUAGCAAUACUUUUUAAAUUUUAAAAUAAUUAAAAUAACAAAUAAAGUUAAAAUGUAAGUUAUUGUAGAGUUAGAAAACAAUUUUCCAUGUUUACAAUAAAAUGUAAUUUUGUUCAUGGAAAUAUAAACUUUAUAGACACGGAACUAUAACUUUUCUAAGAGUAAAAGAUGUUCCAGAUUUUUCUUUUGAAAAAUUUCUAAUAAAGAUGACAAAGAUUAUUUUCACUUUGAUAUUCAUGAAAAUGUUAAACAUUCGUGCAAAAAAAAAGUUGCUAAGAAUAAAAAACUAUAAACUAAAACUAAAGAACAUAUUUUCCUGUUUCUUCAUUCAGUGACAGACUUCAAUAGCAUGUAGAACUACAAAUAGUAGAUUGAAGGAUAGUUUGGGUACAAAUAUAAGUUACUUAUUAGACAUUACAACUAAUACUAUAUAUGGUUUGUGAAAUUGAGUUAUUUCAGCAGAUAGCAUAACAACAUAUCUAGUUAUGAAUGCCAGGGGAGGGACAUCAUGUAUGAAUAGUUAUUAACACACAUUUAUUUAUGUACAAAAAAUAUAUUAACAACUUCACAUUGAAGAACAAUAGAACACAUCAUGAUCAACAAAUAAUUUAAGGAGCAAAGGAGAAAAGAAACAGGCCAAUAAUCUCUGUACUUGGAAACAGACUUAUAUACUUGGAAUCAGUCUUCUUUUGGCGAGGGAAAUUAGCAGAGAAAUGCUAUCAUUUGUCAACCUGAAAAAGUUUGCAUGCGAAGCUAACUUAUGUCUGUACAAUCUACUCACCAAUUUCAAGUACUGAAAUAAUUCUGACUAUGACAUAUAGAAGUGUAGAUGGUAAUAUGGCAUCGAAAUUUAUAUAUUAUAAAUUUAUUUUAUCUUUUUACUAACGUGAAUCUCCAACAAAAAGAGUUAAACCAGUUUCCGAUCCCAUCCCAAUAUCAUGCCUAAUUCUAGUUGUUUGCAGUUUUUGUGAACUAAUUCAGGUAGAAACCAAAGAAUGACACAGUAAGAGCAGGGAAGUGACACGAGUAAAUCAUACAACAAUGAUAUCCCACAUUUACAAGAUGAAUAACAGUCUCCAACUAAUUUGCCUUAUUAAUUUUUUCUUCUAGUAUUUUGUGUGAUGUAGCUCCUCAUUUUAGAGAAAGUGUGAUAACUAAUUAGACGGAAUGAAAAUAACAUGAAGUGUGAAUGGUUUAAAUUUUUUAUCUAAGCUAUUAUUCAUUAUUAGUCAAUGUAGAAUUGUGAAUGAUUUUAAAAUCUUACAUUGUUAUUUAAAUCUGACUCUGCAAGUGGGCUACGCUCGGAAUCAGACUCUUGUUCAAGUUCCCUGAAAGAGAGAUGAAACCAUCAUAAAAUAAAAUAUACCAACAAAACCAUCAUAAAACAAAAUAUACCAACAAAACCAUCAUAAAGUCAACAAGAUCAGAGAUAUGAAUAACAAAAAGUAUGUUUAUAAGCUACCUAUUAGUUAAGAUCAGUUGUCGAUGAGACAGAGUUGUGCUCAAAUCAGAAGCAGCAGACUCCGAAACUUCAGGCUUUGUGGGUUCAUGUUCACUCAUUCCCUGCAAAAGGGUUGCUUCAAUUCUAUUGCUCGUGAGUUAAGAUAUUAAAGCAUAAUAAGUCUCAAAAGCACAAACUCACAGUUAAAGUAUCUUUCAUCCAUUCAGGAAAUUUAUUCGAAAGAAGGCUGAUAUACUGCUCCAUUGCAACCUCUGGAUUCAUGUUCCCCAGCUUUUGCCAAGCAUUCCUUGCACAACGGAAUCAGUACUGUCGAUCACUUAUAAAAAGCAGCUCUCAACCCUGUUAUUAUAACUAGCAAUCAAGCUAUACCAUGUAACUUGUACAACACGGUUGCAUGUGUUGUUUAAAUUGAUUUAUCAUGUUAGAGUGUUUGACACAUUUUUUCUUUCCCUCUUGAUUGCUAAUUCUUAUGUCUUUUGCGCUAUAUUUAAAUUGAUAGAAAAUGAUGAAUGGAGGAAAUUGGAUUGUAAUGGACCUACUGGUAUUAUAUUUCAUUAUUUAAAUUGGUAAUCUUAUCCAUCUCAUUCCAUUAUUUGCUUUCACUUUUUUCUUGGGAGGAAUAAGAUGAAGUGAGAAAUUUGUUUUGUUCCUCUACAAUCUAUCCAUAGAAUGAAAUGAAAGUUUUAUUCCAAUAUAUUCUUUUUUUACUCCAUUCCAUUUCAUUCCAUCCAUCCAAAUAUUAGUAUGACAAAGACGGUGUUACCUAAUCAAAUGUACCAGGACCACUGUGUGUUUACUUUAGCUGACAAUAUCAUGAUCUAACACAAAUUGGGCUUUGCUUGUUGUACUGUGAGGGAGUGAUUCAAAUCCACAUUGACAGCUCAUUCAUUCAUAAGGGGAUGUUGAUCGAUUCCCAUUCUUAAAUAACGUUAGUCAGAGUAUAGACUAAAAGAACACUUUAAUUAUUAAUACAAAAGGCAAAUUAUACACCCAAUUAGGUAAUUUCUGAGCAGCGGAAAGAAUUAGUAUCUUUCUUACCACUCAAAAACAUCUUGAUGGUCACAAAAAGAAAAAUAGACAAGCUGUCUUCCUAACAUAAAAAAUGAAUUCUAUAUCUAAUAUCGGCAAAGUCUAAAAAUUACAUCUGUAUCCAACCACACACUCUGUCAUUGUAUAAUUUUUUAUGUGCAUCAAGAUAAUUGAUACAAUUUCUUAAUUGCACCAAUCAAGAUUUUUGUUGACUAUGUUACUGAUGAGAAUGUCGGUGACUGAUCUCUAAAAAAAUUAGCUAGAUACUACUUUUUUAGCCCAUAAUGUUUCAAGCAGAAACCCAGUUAUCAUUUAUUAUACGGUUGUUUAAACACAUUUCACUGGGAUACGUUAGACACAAAAUCAAAUCUUAACUAUUACUUCAAACAACAACAGUAGAGUAACAAACAAGGCAAAGCAAGUUAGGCAAUUCAACAAAUAAGGCAAAACAACAUCACACGAAGCAUUAAUUGGCAACAUUGAAAAAAAAAGGAGUACGUAAGUUGAAAUUUGAUACCACUUGGCACGUGCAGAGAGCUUGAGAGGCAUUGGCUGAGGUUCACGGCAAGGUCCUUCCGUCGCAACCUUGUGAAGCCCGUACAACUCCAUUUUCACGUUGCUUCCAACACUCUCCAAUCGAUCACACUCGUGAGUAACAAAUUCCGUAGCCGCCAUAAACUCUUUCUCCAGCUCACUCCUCUCAAUCCCUUCCCAAUCAUCAUCCUCAUCAUCGUAAUAAUUCUCUUUCACGCCGUUUUCUACAGUAGAAACUUCAAUUUCAGUGCAAGAAUCUUCAACACUUUCCACGUCCCUCUUCUCAUCAAACUCUCGUGUUUCUCCCUCGUUCGCCUCAGCGAUUUCCUCUUUAACGGCAAUGUCAGAGCGUGAUUUUAACGGCGACUCGAGAACAACGUUGGAACCGAAUUCCAUCACAACCUCUUCUACCUUGCGUUCGCUUCCUACACACGUGGCAGCUUGAACAGGACUUAAAACCGUGCUCUCGCUUGGAAAAACAGGUUCGACCAUAGACUCUUCUAUCUGGCGUUCAAUAUCUGAUGACGCGGCAGCUUGAACCGGACUAAUACAACCGAUCGUGUCCUUGCUUUCAGCGGCCUGAACCGGUGGAACCGGUUCGACCGUAGCUUCUUCACAUUCGAUUUCUACACUCUUAGUUUGAGCGGGGUGAACCGUGAACAGUUUCCGAUGAGGAAGCGGUUCGACCGUGGCCGUUUCUACGCUGUAUUCUGUUACAGCGUGAACCGGACUAAUGAAACGGAGCUUGCUAUUGCUCGGAGCGCGCUGAACCAUGAAGCGUUCCGCAAGAGAAACUGGAGGCAGCGGUUGAAGAUCGACGUGACGUUUUGGUGCGGCGUGAGUGUGGUUGAUGGCCUCGAGGAGCUUCAAGACGAUGAAAGUGAGAAGAAGCGCGAGAGAGGCUGUGACAAAAAAAUCAUCCACCACGGUUAGAAGCUCCAUCACAGUGCUCUGGUUUUUGUUGUUUCUAGUUGAAGGAGUAAGGGUUUAAGUAAAGGAUUAUGAUCGGGUGAAAAGGUGGUUGUGUUUGGAGAAAAAUAAUGAGAGAAUUUAGGAAGGAAUUGAUAAGAAGGAAGGAACUGAAAAAAAAAAAGAGGAAAGGAUAAUCUGAGAAACAGCGCAAAGCAUAUUCUGCGCUUAUUUUACUUUAUGCUUUGGCUACCAAAUUUCAAUUUCAGUUUUUUUGGGUUUGGAAAGGGUAGUGUGGGUCCCGUUGUUGCGGAGACAACGGUGAAGGGGUCACCGACGUGUAACAGAAAAAGCGUGAAAGGGUGUAUAUCCGUGACCACGUCGAUCAUGCUGACUCAUCACUCGCUGCCAUAAUCGUUAUCCAACUCCAACACACGCGAGUCAUUCCUAUUUCAUCACAAUCAACACUUCGUUUGGUGGCCCUUUAAUUCAAUUUGGUCAAAAAGUUGGUUUUUAAGGGACAUACUCGAGCACUGUUCUGAAUAUUUUGGAUGACGAAAUAAGUUAAUUCCAUCGCUGUUACGUGAUCAUUGCAGUUUCGAACACAAUGCCAUAAAAAGAAAAGUGACGAUGGGAUCUACAUAGAUAAUUUUAUAGUCAUUAUUUUUCUUAGCCGUUUAUCAAUUAAUACGGAAGGCUAUAUCGUAUUGGUAGUUACUACAUACACUAUAAUCUAUGUUUUACAAUACGAACCAAAUUUUAAUGAAAAAAAUUGAGCUAUAGCCAAUAAUUCCGGUACUAUAUCCACAAAACGAGACUAUUUACCCUUUGACUUUUAAAAUUGAGAUUGAAAUAGCAUUAUGAAUUCCCCUUGAGCAUACAAUUUCGAUUUUUGAGUUUAUUUUGUUCCCUUCCUUUCGAAUGUUUAAAAAGUUAAACGAUUGAAAGCGUUCCUCGUGUAUUUUGAAGAGCCUGCUAAAGAAUAAGGCUAAUUUCGAUGGCCUGCACUUACCAACGUAUUAUGUACACAGCUACAACAAUGGAACAAGGUGUUAGGUGUGCUGCUAUGUUAGUGGCACAACUGUAGACAUAAGCCUGCCCAAUGAGAUUUCCGUUUAAUUCCAUAAAUUUCCAAUUCUACUAAGUGACUGUACAAAACAAUACACAAAACGGAACCAAAAAACUAGGCAAAUCUAUCACUAGGAGAUCAUAUGGAUACAGGAGAAAAAUCAAAUUCAACAGGUAAAUUAUCUGGGUUAUAUGAAGUGUUUAAGUCAAACCAGAAAAUUUUAACUUGAGGGAAACCUUUCAAUUUCCGUAAUCAAGCAUGAGAUGAUGAUAAUAACUUAAUAAGCUCGGUGACAAUUAAAAAUAAACAAGAUAACCUAGGCACUUCGUUUAACCUUGUUCAACUGGGGCUUCAGAAUGAAUUUUCUCGUACAAGCGAUGUAUGAGUGGGGAUUUAGACAUCUGGGGCUCCCUCUCCAGGACUGCAAUCACAUCCUUGACAGAGAUGCUUCGAGCUACACUAGUGUGAGGGGCCAAGGCAUGACUCUUUCCAAGUUUUCUGGCCACUGUUAGAAGAAUUGAAAAGGAGAAAAAGCAAUGAAAAGUGGUCCAAACCAAUAAAAAAAAGACACCAAUUUACUUUAUUCAAACCAUCAAAGCAUUUCUCCAACAUAAUGUUUACUUGAAGCGAUUUUCUUGGCAACAUUAAUCAUUAGGUAUUCUACACACACUAUACAACAGGGGAAUCUGAAACCCUUCAGCCCAAAUAAGUGGAAAGAGUAGGAUAUUCUGCAAUCUACAUUUAGGUAUUUAUCAGAUCAGAACAUUCUCAACAAACAGUAUAGAAUAUUAUAGACAGACCAUAAUUCAAGUUUUCUGACAAUGACAGAAUCCACUUCUAUUCUACCUUAAUUUUUUUAAUCCAUAUAAUAAGAAACAGCAUUUGAAUCUUGAAUAACUAAAAUUAAUUGUACCUUGCAACUAAAAAUUAAUAAUGGAAAUAACAGAAAAGCACCUUCAAACAAACUCACCUGAACUUGCUAGAAAAGGGGUUGAACCUCUUUUCUCCCCUUCUUGGUUAUCCUUUGUACUUCUUUCAGAUGUUGAUGAAGAUUUGCGGUUCACAUCUUUAGCUGGUUGAGAACCAGAUGACGGGUCCACCCCUUCACGUUUCUGCUUGGCUUGCUCCGCCAUAAGUUGCCACUUUGACAGCAUGUCAUCUCCCCCAUAAGCAGCACGAGCAGCAACAUUGGCAGCAUUUGUCCUCAUCUUGUCAUCCUCUUCCUUGUUCACCUGCAGCAUAUUAUAAAUCAAAGAACAGAUUUCCAAUGUUUGAUAAGGUGAAGUAUAAGUAUAAGUACCUUUGUUGAUUUACCACGGUCGUCCUUAUCCUUGUCACCAUCAACUCCAGUACUGCCGUCAACCUAUAUUUAGAAAUAGCAAUACAAACGAUAGACAAACAAGUUACAACUACAAAUAUACAACAGACAUGCAUGGAAGAGAAAUGUGCAUAAAAAGGUUUUUAUCUUGCAGUAACUUAAAACACAAUUCCAAUAUUUGGAACUUACAUCAUUUAGUUUCCGAAGCUUCUCUGCUUCUGCCUGUUUUUUCUCCCACUCUUCCCUUACUUUCCUAUUUAUUGUCAUGAUUUGCUGCCGAACAUCUGAAGUGACAACAGUCCGAUGUCUCGUUUUCUCAAAAUCAACCCUCUAAUAGAAAAGUUAUUGUAAGUACAAAGUUUUAUACAAUUAUAAAAGACUACUUGCGCAAGCAACUAGAGAACUGACCUGUUUUGAUAUUCUAAUCAGAUUACUUAUCAGUCCACGCAUCCUUUCCUCCACACUCUGAACAUUUACUCAGUGUCAUAAAAUUACAUGUAAACCAAUUGUACUGAAAAGUGAAAAAUUGUUUGAGUCUCACCAGUGACAAACAUUUCUCCACAUCAUUGCUCAUACCCUUCAAGCCAGACUUGGCCACUGCCAGAGUAACAACAUAAGGUAGCCAUAAGGUUUUGUAUGCCUAGCACAUAUCCAGAUCAGCUCAAAAUGAAAGAAUUAAAACAUAUGGACAGAGGUAUGACACAAGUUGGACACUGACUGAUGUCAAUUAAUUUUUUUUGCAAUGGAGCUUUCUGCAAGAUCAGUCUUUCCUCUUCUUCUUGCACAGCCUUUCGAGAUGCUUCUGACACUCGACUAUCCUCUUUGGGCCCUGAAAAUAACUGCUCUUCCUCUUCCUGUAAAAGAAAUAUUAGAAGUACAGGAAUUAGCAUUCCCUACUUAUUGACUAUCUGAUUUAAUUGAACAUGACGUAGUAUCAUACCCUGAGGUCAACUCCACUAACAGCAGUGACAUCAUUAAGUUGUUCAAUGCUUUGUUCAACAUAUCCCCCAGAUGUUUUUUGUUUUUUACUGUAUGGUACAGGAACAUUAUGUAUAUAUUGAAAUUAGUUAGGUUAAGAAAUUUACCAUAAAAUAAGAUGUUCAUAAAUGAUCCAGUAGAGUAAGACAUGGCUCACCUAGAAGGAGGAGGUGAGGAACCAAGUGCUUCAAGUGGUUUCUUUUGGGUAACGGCAGACUUUUUAAAAGAUGUCCUAGCAACAAUUCCAGAAGCAUUUGAUGGAACCUGAGAGCUUAGCUGAUCAAUUUCAGAAGUGGGACAUAAGAAAUUAGGCAUCAACAAAUUUGAAGACAUUUAUAAACCCGGGGUAUGCUUGGUGCAAAAAUAAUAUCUUGGUAUUUAAAGAAAAAAAUGAAUAGAAAAAGCAUGACAGUUAUUAUUUCUCAAAAAUAGAUUCUGUUAAAAAACUAAAUUGGGAGCAUGAGGACAUUAAAUGAAAAAACAAGCACAACAUUAUACACUUGUUACCCUCCACUGCAAUUUGCAAUACAUCUUUGAUACCUCAUAACCUUGCAUAAGGAAACUGGUGAAUCAAAGGGUCUAAUAAAACACAUGUUGACUUUUGUGAACACUCCAUUACAGGUAAACUUACAUUAUUGUUGGUCUAUGUGAAUGACAAGAUUAUUCCAAGAGAUGAUGAAAUAGAAAAAAUGGUUUUAAAGGAAAAAUUGGCAGCAUUUUGAAAUGAAAGACUUGGGAAAGCUUAAGUAUUUGCUUGGAAUAAAGGUUGCUUAUUCAGAAAAGGGGAUUUUCAUCUCCUAAAGAAAAUAUGUACUUGAAUUCAUUACAGAAAUAGGUAAGUUGGAAUGUAGAACUUCAGAAGUUCCUAUUGAAUUGAAUUAUAGAAUUGUGAGUGAAGAGAGCUCUCAUGUAGAAAAAACUCAAUAUCAAAGAUUGGUAGGAAAACUUAUUUAUUUAUCACACCAUUGCAUAUGCAAUUAGUGUGGUAAGUUUAGGGUUUAGGGUUUAGGGUUUAAGUUUAUGCAUGAUCCAAGAGAAGGCCACAUGCAAGCAAUUGACAAAAUUCUUCCGUACUUGAAGUCAAGCCUAAGAAAUGGGUUAUUCUUCAGGAAAGGAGACACUUUGACCUUGAAGAUAUAUAUACUGAUGCAAACUAUGCAGGUUCUGUUAUUGACAGAAAAUCUACAUUUAGGUAAUGUAUGUUUCUUGGAGAAAGUCUAGUGACCUAGAGAAGCAAAAAACAGGUAGAGUAUCUCGUUUAGGUGCAAAAGUUGAAUUUCGAGCCCUAGUUCAAGGUGUGUGUGGAGGACUCUAGAUGCAAAUCAUACUUGAUGACCUUAAAAUUAAGGUUGACAUCCUUACACAAUUGUAUUGUGAUAAAAAGUCAGCCAUGAGCAUUCCGCAUAAUCUAAUCCAACAUGAUAAGACCAAACAUAUUGAAAUUGACAAGCACUUCAUCAAAGACAAUCUUGACAGAGACCUAUUGAUUACAACUUAUGUUCAUAGAGGAUUUCAGAUAGUAGACACUUUCAUUUCCUUUUUUUAAAGGUUGUGGCUAUUACAAGUAGAGAUGGUGAGAAUGUAAUUUGGAUGAUUGAUAUCAAUAAAAUAAUUCUUUAUUUUUCAAGUAGGUGCAAACCUUACAUUAUUAAGCUGAUUUUGUGGGGUUGAGUUAGACUUAAAUUCCACUAUCCUAAUAUUAUAUCAGAGUUAUUAAGAGUCUAUCUUAGUCGAGAUUUGGACCUAUCAUGUCACCCUAUCGGACCCCAAUUGAUUCCCACGCUCAAUAUUCUCAGUGUGGAUGCACAAUGUCCUUGACAUGAGGGGUGUGUGUUGGAGAUCUAACAUCAAUUAGAGAUAAGACCAAAUUAAUAUAUAUAAGUGAAUACAAACCUCACAUUACUGAGUCGGUUUUAUAGGAUUGAGUUAGGCUUAAAUUUCACUAUCUUAAUAAAUACUAUCUAUGUUGGCAACUUCAUUACAAAAGGAAUUCAGAAAAUUACUGGUGAAAGAGAUUCUUUGCUAAAAACAAUUUAAUAAAAAAAAUUACGGAAAACAUAUCUAAGCUGAGGGAACUGAUGUUUCAUAUAUACAUUCAGCAUAACAAAGUACUAAAGGAUUCAUUGUGCCCAUUAGGAUAAAAACACAUUUGCAUGUUACUUGAUCUGCAAAAAAUUACCAUUAUAUCUUAAGACAAGAUCAUGUACAACAAUCUCCAACUUACCGGGACACUAGAGUCUAGGUGGGUCAUUAUAGAAGAGGAACCAGAACUGUGUGGUAGCAAGCCAGUAGAUGUUGUAGGUGGCAUGUUUGUGGAUGCCGGAAGACCUCUUGAAAAGUCAUCUUUUAGAGUUCCUUGACUGGCACCACUCUGUUCAAGCUGAGCAGAAUUAACAGAAGAAUACCCGUGCAAUUUUGACAAAUUGUGCCUAUUUUGCUGCUCAGUAGAUAAGUCAGUAGGUUCCUUCUUGACAUAAGAAACAGAUGACAUUAAGCCCAGAUUUUGUUCUUUGUUUGUUGAUGAUUGCCAAGCAGUUGAAGUUUGUUGAGAUGCUGUAUUGUUUAUAGAAGAAGACACAGAUCCACCUGGCAGUCUCUUGGGAUCAUUGAAAGAAUUCUGCUGUUCAACUUUUGGCAUACCAGUUACACUCAAACCAUGUGUUGACCCACCUAAGUGAUUUGAACCAAUACUUUGAUGAGGAAUUUGACUCAUGUGUGAAUCAUGUGAUUGCAGUUUGAUAGACGAAGAGGAACUACUUGUUGCCCCAGAAUAAGGGUUAUAGUUACCACCACUGUUUCCAUAUGUUGGUGCAAAAUGUAGAUGGUGUUGCUGCUGCUUAUUGAGCCCUUGUAUGUGAACUGAUGUUCUUUCUGUUUCUUGACCUACUGUGUUGGAACUGGAAGACGUCAACUGGUUUGGUUGCAAUCCUUGAGAUUCUAUUUUAACAUCGAAUUCCUGAGAUUUUCUAGCAUUACUAUCCAUAGUUUGGCCAGCUGAAGAACUCAGGCGAGAUUGGUCAACGGCAACAUUCAUACUUCUUUGAUGCAUCUGUGCUAAAGCAUGGGGAUCAUUCAAUUGCCUUGCACCUGAACUAACAGUUGGCAUCCUUACAGGAAGCUGCUGCCCAGCAGAUGCUUGAUUGGACCUUGCCUAAAUAGUAUGAAAAAAUGAAUCUAAGCAUGGCCAUGACAUCAAUAUCUAAUUGGAUUAUGAAAACCACCCACAACACAAACCAUGUUUCUUACUACCUGUGGUUGCAUUUGCACCUUUGCUAAUGCUAAUCUAAGCAUCUGGUCCCCUACGAUACCUUUCAUAAGCCGCACAAAACUGUCUUUUGGUAUUUCAUCUUUCUAGAAUGAAAAAAUAAAAAAACUGAUGAAAUACAAAAUUAGUGCAUACUGCAUGUGAUAUCUGUUCAUAAGCUGGUCCUGGGCUAUCAUCAAAAAGACUAAAACUUGCCAUGGAAAGGGGAGGGGGGAAGGACCUGAUAGCUAGAUUGGUUGGAAAACACACCUUCAAUUUAGCAAAUAAGGUUUGAAGUUGCAUGGCUCUGUCUUUGGCAAGUUGAGGAAGCAAGAUGGGUAGCAACAGGCCAAAUGGUACUUGUUUACUACGAUUUACUUGGCUACUUGGCUGCUCAGAGACUGUAGCCUGUUGAUUACUCAUCUGCUGCAACUUUGCAUACUGAGAUUCACUGCUGGGAUUAUGACUCUUUACUACUUCAUUAUUAAGAACUGAAUCCUUUACAGAAUUCUGAAUUCCAAUAGUUUGAGAAUUGUGGAGGGGAACUUGUACAGCAGGUGCUUGUGCUUGGUGACAGUCAUCUUGAGAUUGUUUCUGUGAUAGAUGAGGAUUAUUUACAUCCUGAGAAGCAACAUGCUGAAGAUGCUCGCCAAGCGACCCAUGUUGCUUCGGCUCCAUCUCAGAUGAAUGUUGCUCUUGUUGUGCAGUUUUAGGCUCUUGAUUUUGACCAUCAGUUUGGCUGUCAGGGUUAGAAGUAGGCCACUGUGAUAAAGAUUGACUUGAUGUAUUAUUGCUUCCUUGAGACAACACUGCAGCAAAUAUAGCACAUAAACAUAAAGAAUGAGCAUUUUACGUGAGAAAACACAAAGCAAUAUAAAAAAGUUAUGUGUCCCAGGACUCAAUUAAAUUUAGAACUUAAACUAACACAUUUCCUAUUAGUGUUCAACUCAUACCAAGCUUGCUCUUUCAAUGAGCUUCAGAGAAGAAUGACUACUUUUCAAUCAAUUAUUUGGGAGACAAAGCCAGAAAGCGACAUGCAGCUUUAUUUCAGAAUCAUAGUGCUAUAGUUACUAUCCAGAAGGAAAUGAUGAUAGCAGUUGCAAGAAACAAAGGCAGGACUAUUAUUUGUGAUGCAACAGUCAUACAAUCAAUUCAUGAGGGUUGGUUGGUGUGACUUGUUAGUAUUUGAUCCUGGAAAUGCUAAUGCCAACUCUGGUGGCAAAGUGGGUUCCAAGAGAUGGAACUCCCAGCCAGCAUACUUCUAGAAAUGGGAUCCAUUGAAGUUUUCAGCAGCUAUAGGUCAAUCACUGAAAUCUCCAAUGCCAACUCUAAUAAAAGAGAGGAUUCAUAGGAAUGGGAUUCCCAGCCACCAUACAUCAAGCAAUGGAAUAGUUCUUGUAGCUGCUACAGGAAACCACAGGAACCUCUCUACCUUGGUGACAAGCUGGCUCUUAUUUUAUUUUUUAUUUGGUGGGUAUUAUUGGGUAUUCCUAUGCUGACCAUAUGAGAAACCCGAAUAAGAGAAGGAUAGGGAUUUAUUUAGGCUAUCACUAACACAAGACAUGCCUAGAUGGGAACUGGGAAGGAAUGAGGUGAAGUUAGAUGAUAUGUGGGAUAAAAGUGAACUGGGAAAAUGAAAGAGGUAGCCUAUUAUUGAGUGAGAAUUUUGAGGCUUCAGGUCUUUUCAAAAUGACCUCUUAUAUCUUUCCUUUUUCUGCUUGUGGAAUUCUAGAGACCCAUAUCUAUGUAAGGAAUUAAUCAGUCUCCAUAUUUUCUUAAAGGAAUUCAAGAAAUUAGUCAACCUAUCACCCCAAUUGGGGAAUUAUCCUGUUAUCUGUAGUCCAGCACAAGGUCUUCUAUCAAUUGGAGAGCUUCAGAUCUAGAGAACCAGCAAUAACUAGUAAUACCGUAAUAGGGAAUAAAGCUCUGGGAAAUAAGGACAAUAAGAGAAAAAGACAGAAUGUAUAUUUGGGCUGCAACAACCUUGAUUGUGAGGUAAGGAUGAUGAAAAGAAAGGGAGGAAAUGGAAAAAAAAAAAGAGAAUUAAAAAAUUGUGUAAGGCAUUGAUAGGAAGGGCUGGAGGGGGUAGCCAACACCUCAACUAGCUUAGAGCUCUAUUUUUCCUUUUCCUGUUUAUACUCCCUCUGUUUACGAGGUCGUUUGUAGCCUACUUUCCUUUUCCUACUUCAGAGAGAGAGAGCUAUGUUCCAGAUUCACAUUGUAUAUGAGGUCAUUUAUUUUCAGUAGCUAAGUGAAAUUCAGUUCUUAUUAUCAGCUCUAUCAACAAUGAUUGUAAGAAAAUUGCGAGUCCACAAAAACAACAGAAAUCUCUAAAUACACAUACUUUGUUGUAGUGAGGACAUCAUGGAAUUUGAUAAUGAAGUAGAAAUUCAUCUAGUCCACAUUGAAUAGUAAAACAUAUCUUGGACCUUCGUAACCACAGCUGGGCAAAUUCCAUUAGAAGAAACACACACUGAAAGGAGAUAUCAACCGACUCCUAGUUAAUUAACUUUUUUCGACAACCAAAAUACUUCAGUGUUCAAACACUAUGACCAAACAUAAAUGUUUUUAUAUCAUUUUGAUGUUUUAGAUGUCUAAACAGUAAACUCAAACAUGGACAGAAGAAGCAGUGAAUUUGAACAGAAUAAUAAAAAUAAGAAAGAAAUCAAAUAUUACCAGAAUGAGAGAGAGGUCAGUAUUGAACAGAAAAUGAUGAAUAAAAUUGGCAGAUACCUGCAUCUGAACCAGGAAGAGAAGCAGACAAGUCUCCUCCUAUAUCUCUAUUUAGAGCAGCCUGGAAGGCCUCCACAUCCACCCCUGAAUGCAUUGUUUCAUCCUGUGAACAUUCAAACGCAGUGGUCCAAUAAGCUAAGCCCCAAAUCGGUGAACAAGACCAAAGUUCUUCUCCAAAGAAAAAGAAGAGAAAAGAGCAGCAGGGUAAACCUCGUCAUCUUCUAGAAGCUUCAUGAUAGACGGGUCCAUAGCAAUUUCACUGCACUUGUAAUCCUUGUUCCUCUAUUUAACCAAAACAAACUCAGAAAUUUUCUUUCACACCAUAUCUUAGCUCAUAAGAGUAAGCAGACAAACUGAAAUAGCAUCACCACCACCAUAUGUAUCAAUCCAUAAACAGUUUACCCACGGGUUCAAUUUCUACCUAAAUACUUACAAUCGCAUAAUACAAUUCAACUAACUUUUCACUUAAAAAUGAGGGAUUCCAUUAUGUCAUGUUAGGGUGGUGAAUAAGGUUACUCACGAGCUUGCAAGAAUCUCUAAAUAUCUAAAUUAAAACACACAUCAGUUCGUCAAACACAUGGAUGCGAGUACGAGACCUAGCAACUAUCGGUAUACAACUACGCAAAAAAAUAAAGCCGAAUCAUAAUUGCUUCAUUCUAAGCAUAAAUCACAUCCGAGAAAGAAGAACAACGCAAUAGAGUUCAUGGUUAUGAUCUAUUGAGUAUGCACCACAAUUUACGCAGUAAAAUCAUAUUAUGAGAUGUAAUCGUUUCUAAUUCCUAAAGGGCACAGAAAACUGAGAACAAACGUUGAUGAAAUAGCUUGCGUAAUUGCAACUCACCCAACCAAAAGAGAGUGAAAGGUUCCGUUGAGGUUCCGAGAUUACAAAAACAAUUCAGCGAUUUCAAUUUAUUUCUGAACACGAUUCAAACUCAACGUAAGAGAUGAUCAAGGGGUUUUGUAUCUGUAGUUUCGCUUUUUAUUUUAUAAAGAAAAAUAUGGUAAAAAGAGACANNNNNNNNNNNNNNNNNNNNNNNNNNNNNNNNNNNNNNNNNNNNNNNNNNNNNNNNNNNNNNNNNNNNNNNNNNNNNNNNNNNNNNNNNNNNNNNNNNNNUAUUAUUACUUAUUAUUUAAAUAUAUAUAUAUAUAUAUAUAUAUAUAUAUAUAUAUUACAUCAAUAUUCAUUUAUGUAAAUAAAAUAUCAAAUAGUUUUAAAUUAAUAUGAUUUUUUUGCGUACACAUUAUCUGCGUAAAAGUAAUUUAAAAUUUAGAAAAAUAUAAUAUGAAUAGAUUAUAUUAAUGCGUUUGUUUAAUUACAUAAACAUUUUAAUUUUAAAAUUUUAUAUAAAUAUAUUUAUUUUAAAAACGUUAUAUUAUGAUUUUUUUUCUCUCUUAUAAAGCACAUUCGUCUUCUUAACUUUUUAAAAUAUUACCUUUACACUUUUAUAUGGGAUAUUAUUCUAAUCUUAAAAAAAUUGAAUCGUUAGCAAAAUUUAUUAAAAAAAUAUUGUCAUAAUUUACUCUGAAGGUAUUUUACGAACCUUGACUUUUAGUUUAUUCUAAAAAAAAUAAAAAUAAGCAUAGAGAUUCGUGGGGACCUAUUUUUAUUGGGCUUGUUGUAUGGACUUCCUAACUUCUCAUUUUUCUUCAUCCACUCCCAUAAUUCCUUCAUACACAUCCAUGGAGUAUUAAAAAAAUCUAAAUUAUUCAUUAUUUAAAUUUUUAGAUUGCUAAAAUUUGGAAUAUAUACUUAAAUUAUACAAUUUAAAAUACGAAUAUGCAGUCCAAAUUAUGAAUUUUGAUCUAUAAAUGUAUUAUAAAUUUUUAAAUUUCAUAAUUUAAAAUUCAUUUUUAUAUUUAUGAACAUAUUUUAUAUUUUUAAACUAUUGAAUCUAAAAUAUGGUUUCAAAUUACAUAAUAUCGAAAAUUCAAUUUAAAUUUUAUAAUUCAUAAUACGUUUAUAAAUUAUAUAAUAUAUAAUAUAUUUUAGAUCUGAAAAUAUAUUAUAAGUUAUAUAAUUUGAAAUACAUCUCUAAAUUAUGUAAUUUAAAAUAUAUUUUUAAAUAUUUAAUACAUCAUUUAUAAUUUAUAAUGACUUUUUUUAUUUACAUAAUUCGAAAUGUUUUUGACUUACAGACCUUCGACUUUUUUUAAAGGAAAAUUACAUUGUUUUUAAUCAAAUCCUCUUUUUAAAAACAUUAAAUAAUCAAAUUUAAUUUUAGAAUGACAGGUGGAAAAUGAUUUAUCGACCACUUUGAGAAUUAAUUAGGUAUUAAACAUAUUCUAAACAAAUUGGGAGGAAUUUAAAAUAUUCUGAAAUUAAUUUAAAUGAAAAAAAAAACAUAUUCUAUAAUUAAAUUUUCUUUUUUGACACGGUUGCCAUCGUAAAUGUACUCUUAAUUUCGAAAUUAUCAUUGCAUUUUUCUUACAACAGUGGCUUCAAAAUCAUUAAAAGCCUUUCUAAUUAGUAAAAAUUAGAUUAUUUAAAUAAUUUAGGUCACAGGAACGUGGUUUUAAAUUAAGCAAUAAAAAUUAUUAUUAAAACAUAUGAUAUAUUGCUUAUGUAUGCGAGCAUCAUUGUUUAAUGUCUUUACUUUGGAAAGCUACAAAAUAAAUAAAUAAAAUAUGAAGUUUUUUUUUAUAUAUUGCCCAACUUAAUUAUAUAUUUCCUGUAAAAAAUAUCAUAUCCAAACACGAGUAAAAUAUUUGUGUCUAUUAUUAGCAAUGAAAAAGUAAUUUUUAUCACUAAAUUACAGAAAGUUUGAUCUUUGAUUUACAGAAAAAACUAAUCAAAUAUAUCUAUAUCUAUAUAUAUAUAUAUAUUUUAUAUAUUUAUAUAUAUUUAUAUAUAUGGUAAGAACAAGAAGUGGUCCCUUUCUUCAUUAUUCAACUCUAUGUUUUACCAUGCAAAACAACAAGCCAUGUGAGCUUGUGAACAUGGAAGGAAACAAAAUAAAUAAUAUUUUUUUUACAAAUUUUAUGUGGAUACCUAAAAGUUUUUCUAACUAGAUAGAGUAUUUCAUUUUUAUAUUUUGUAAUUAAAUAUAUUACUUUGAAAUUAUUUGAGCAUAUUUAUUUCAAAAGCAAAUUAACUCUAACCUAUUUAAAUAUGAUAAAAAAAAGUUCUAACCGAAUUAAAGUAUGAUAUGGUUUAUCAUUAAUAAAAUAAAUUAAAAUGGACAUUUUAUAUAACUAAUAGUUUUAUUCAAGCAUAUGUUUUUAACUUCAAAUAUUUUUUUCAAUAGGAAUACAAAAUUAACUAAAACAUAAAAAAUAUUAAGGACAACUUGUAUUGUUAAAUAAGUUAAUUAAAUGCUAAUAAAAAAAUAAGUUAAUUAAAUUAUGGAAUGAGGUAAUAAACCACAAUAUGGACACCAAGUGUUUACAGAACUGAAGAACUUUUGGAUAGAAAUUUUAUAUUAUUUCAUAUUAGUAAUUAAUUUAACUUCGUUGUAAAUAUAAAUAUAUAAUUAUUACAUUAUUUUAAUUUUAGAUUUAUCUGUGUACUAUCUAUUUUUUAAUAUUUGUUAUGAAAUUUAAAUAUUGAUUGAACUCAAUCACUAUUAUAAAAUUAUUAAAUAAAAACUAAUUUUAGAGAAAAAAAUAAUUAGUUACUAUAUUGAUUAAAUUAAAUAUUAUUUUAAAUACUAAAAAAAUAUUGUUAUCUAAAUUAGUUUCUAUUAUUGAUAAAUAAUUUUUAAAUUUGUAUAUUAUUAACUAUGUUUUAGCAAUAAUUCUUUUAGAUUCUAAAGUUGGUAGCUAAUUAGAUACCAAUUUAGAAACUAUUUAUCAAUAAUAGAAAUUCAUUUAAAAGCUAGUAAUUUUUUUUAUAUAAUAUUUAAUUUAAUUUUUUAAUAUAAGAACUGAUUUUUUUUUCUCUAAUUUUUAUUUAAUAAUUUUUUAAUAUUUUAAAAGGCAACAAGUCAAGAAAAUCUUUAAAUAGAAACUAACUUUUUAGAAACCAAAAUAAUUAGUUAUUAUUUAAUUAAAUUAGAUACCAUUUUACUAAAUGAGUCUCUAAAAUUUAGAAUAUAAAAUAUUAGUAAGUAAAAUCAUGGUAACUACUUUAAAUACCAAUUUAUAAAUCAGUUUAUAAAUUCUUAUUAAUAAUAUAAACUACUAUAGAUACUAAUAAUUUUGUAGUCUCUAAAUUAAUAUCUAAUUUAAUCCAUAUAUUGAUUAAUUAUUUUUCGUCUUUAAAUUUAAUUAUUAUUUAAUGAUUUUUUUUAUUAUAUAUUCUUUAGUUUAUAAUUCUUCAAAAUAUUUAUAUUUCAAGACUCUUCAUAUGCCUUUAAAGUAGAUAGAAAUUAUAUUCUUAAAAGGGCAUGUAUCCAUGUAUUAGAAAACCAUCUUGUUAGUGUUCCCAUGAAUGUUUGUUUUAAGUGAUGAGUUAUAUGUUUUGAUAGUGAAUUUUGAGUUUUUGGUUUGAAUUUUUUUUAUAGAAAAUAAUAAUAUAUUAUAAAUAUUUAUAAUUUCAUUCAUUAAAGUAAACAAAUCUGUUUCUAUAUAUUAAUUUAACCAAGAUGAAAAACGAGACUGAGAAAGUACUUUGACAUAACUUACAUGAAUGGAGUUCUCCCAAGGUUCUCUCUUCUCCAAGUAAUGCUACUGUUGAUGCGCAUUUAUUGAGACUCUUCCAUAGCAGACAUUGAAUGCACAAGUAUCUUUUGUUUCAAAAGUUUUUUGAAUUGAAAUGAAUUGAGCAGGUUUGAAUUUAAUGCAGUCACUGAAGGUUGUAAUGGAGUGAGAGUCCCCAAGCACGGUGUCUUCACAGAGAAGCAUAUCACUUAAAAUUGGUAGGUUUUCUUUUAGAGUCUCACAUUUUCCCCACCCCUUCAAACUUAUUAUCUUUACACGCGUUUUGAGGUGGACUUCGGUUUCAUCAUCAACCAACAGUGACAAAACACUGCUCCUUUCCUCCUUCCAAGAACACUUAUUUAUUAGUAAUUCACUUCAACAACAUUGUCCUCUUCAGGUUUGUUGUGUUUCUAACUCUGGUUAGUGUAGUACUUGAAAACAUGAAGGUUUCUGGGCUCUUUGCUUUGCUCUUGGUGGUUGGAGCAACUGUGAUGUUCUAUAACGUCUUAGGUCCCACUGGGACCUCUGCGAUACCUGGUACAUAUAUUCUUUCCCUUACUACACUUUAUUUCAUUUGAGAAAAAUUGUUAGAUCUCUUCAGAUAAUGCAAAUCAUCAAUGUCUUUGUGUGAAGUGUUUUGUUAUUAUCACCAUGUAUGUUUCUCAUAGUCUGGUCCCCAUGUUUCUCUUACUUUUAAGUCUUGAACCUUUGAACCUUUGAUUUGCAUAGACCUCAAAAAAUAUAGAGGUUAGUGGUAAAGUAAGAAAUAACAGUUUUGUUUAUGUGCAGAAGUUUGAGUAGAGAUAUAUUUGAAUAUCACCGGUUAAAAGACACAUGGGGUGUUUUGAAUUUUGUGUUUGACCUAACUGUGUUUCUUCCCUUUGAUGAAAUUUUAUUGAUUUUUCCUUUGGUAUUGUUGUGCAUGCAUGCAGUGGUGGCAGUUUCCAAUCCACAAACUCUUGGGAAAAAAUGUUGUUCUUUGUUUUCUCCUUCUGUGUAUGAUUUUCUGUAGUUGACAAAGUGUUUUUGUUAUUAUUCUGUUGAUUGUUUUCUCACAGCCAACAUGAGCCACAAAGUUGAGACUUGAGACAGCUUUAUAGUGGUGUUCAGCCGCAAAAAUUGAAGGAGUAAUUCAUGAUUUGACAUAAUGGUGAAAGCCAUUUUAAAAGUUUUCAAGUUCCACCCAUAUUAUUGGGAAAAAAGGCAGCAUUAUAUUUGUCAUUUCUAUAUCAGCCAAAGCAUAUAAUGCAUCUUGUUGGAUACUAAUAACAUGAUUAGUAUAAACAUUUUUAGAUAACAAAACUAAAAUUGGAAAACAAAACUUAUCACAUAUGAUGUGAUGUCAGUCUUUGUAUCUUUGGUGAGAUUUUGUAUAUGUGUUGGAGUAUCUACUAGUUCCAUUUUGUUUAUUUUUUAUUAUUGAAAAAAAAAACUUUUUAUGCCUUUAUGUAUAAUCUAACACUUUUUCAAUAACAUCUCAGAUUUGGUUGAAACCAACCAUGGUGAUAAAGCCAAACGGAUUGCAGUAAGCAGGAAACUGAAGGUAUGAAUGCUUUACAAUUGAUCCUUGGACUUAAGCUCUGGCACUUGACCAUGCUGGUUAAUGCAAUCAAAACUUAAUUAUAAUGGGAUGUUACAUGAUAAAUUUGAUGUUAUAAAUAUUAACUACCUUGAAAGUAAUACCUAAGAUGAAUUUUACUUGUUCAUGAUGUAAAACUUUUAAACCCUAAAUUUAAACUUAUUUUAGUUUCAGUUGAAAUGUAUCUUACAUGUGUUUGGUUUGAAAUUUUAGGAAAAUGGGAUUGAAAGUGGCAACAUGGGUCAAGUUUCUCUGACUGAUUAUGGUGCUGUUGAUCCAGUGCCAAAUUCAUCAAAGGCCAUACAAUCUGGACCCAUUGAGUAUGGAAGCCCUCUGAAUCCAUACAUCCCAAAACUUUCACCUCCUGAUCAUCCCAAACCUGGAGAUUCUAACUAACUUUGCUGGUCUCUUUUGAAGUAUGCAACUACAAGAAAUAUUGAUGUUAAUUUCCUCAAAAACUCACACAAAGAUAAAAAGAGAUACUAAAUUUACUAUAAUUAUCAUUUAGUAUCUCCGUUUUAGUCUUUAUGUGGAUUAUUUUAGGAGACUAACAUCGAUAUUUUUUUUAGUGUGUUAUAGUGGACACUGUUCUCAGAAGAGGAACGCUAUUCACACUCUUUUAACAUAUUUCUUUUGAUGGGGAUAUAAGAAAUUGUUCAAAGUAAUGUGUUGGUGGCAUUGCUCAUGCUGAAAAUAAAGAUGGAGGAUCUGUUAUCACACGUUGUUUAGUCAGUCUUUUGUUCAUGCUGAAAAUUAGGAUCAUGUGUGGAUCCUUAUUUUUGUUGGUUUGUGUUUGUGCAACUUCAGUAUGUUUAAUUUUGUUUUCUGUGUAUCUUCUUACUUAUGAAGUAUAUGAAUUUGUUUUUGUUGAUAAGGUUCUUUGUUUUUACCACUGCAAUUGAAUAAAUUCUCAAUUGAAUACAUGGUAUUUUAAAGAUAAAACUAAUGAAAAAAAAAAUUCAAGUUUGUUGGAGAGAACUUAUAAAUCGAUUUAGUUAAGGACUUACCAAAGAUGAAGCAGACAAGCUUUAAGCAAAGGGAAAGAUAUAAAGAGAAGAGAAUGGACAAAGAUAGUUCAUGCUGGAGCAUCCAAAAAACUGCAGAAUGAAAGGUUUCUUACACACCCUAUAUGGUGAGGCAAGUAAUCUUGCAAACAAUUCUAACGCUAAUAAAAUUGGAAAUCAAGGUUGAUGAUUAACUCGAUUUUAGUUUAAUAGGUUGAGAUCACGAUGUAAUAUAAUGUUUGCUGUUGAUUAUUAACAAUGCAAAAAAUUAUUAAAAAAAUAAUUUUAAAAAUAAAAAAUAAUUAGUUAUAAAAUAGUUUAUAUUAUUAAUAAAUAGUUGUUAAAAUGAUUAAUUAGAUACUAAUUUAAAAAUUAUUUAUUAAUAAAAGUGUACGGGUCGCGUCCGUAUGACUGAUUUGAAGUUCAGCAUUCGAUCAAGACCACCAUUACGCCCAAACAUAAGACUAACGAGACUAAUCAUAGAUCAAACAUUAAAUAGUGUAUCUUUAAUUAUAGAUUAAAUUCUUAAUCAGACCCAAUAAUAAAGGGUUCACAAUAAUUAUAUAAAUAAGCAUAAAAUUCAAUAAUCAGGUACGUCAUCAUCUAGUACUAAACACACUUAACACCUAGUGUCAAAGUCUUACUUGAGCAUCAAAAUGUCUUUUGCAGUAUCAUUCAAGUCUGGAGUUCAGAGAGAAAAGGAGUGGAGGAGUGAGAGAUGCAUAAGGAGUUCGUUCAAGAGGAAGGAAGAGCAAACCUAGUUACCGUGAAGGAGUUCAAUUGUUCUCUUGGUUCCAAUUCCGUUUGAAAAGAUAAAGAAACUAUUUUAUAUAUUAAUAAUUUGUUUAGUUUUUAGAAUAAUAUAUAAUUUAGUUAAUAUUAAUUAAUUAUUUUUGUUUUUAAAAUUAGUUUAUAUUGUGUUGAAGCUGUUUAGUAUGUGAAUCUGUUUCUUGAGCAAUUGUGUUGAAGCUGAAGAUGUGAAUUGGUUUGGUUUCAAUUGUGGACAUUCUAUUUUAACAUAAAAUUCCUGAGAUUUUCUAGCAAUAGCUGAAGAACUAAUGGAAGAUUGAUCAGCAGCAACAUUCAUAUACUUGUUUGAUGUAUUGGUAUCAUUCAAUUGCCUUGCACCUUCAUAAAUCUAACUACAUAUAAAAUCUGAUAGAAAUUCAUUCUGCCUGUAAUGAAUAUAGUUAAACAUAUAUUGAAAGUUUGUGAUUACUAAUUUUGAUCACCAAAUUUAUUGGUCGGUUCUUUGUUGCAUUGAACGUUUCUUCUUUAUUUGUGGUGGUGGAUUGAGUAAUAGCUGCGCAGGCAUUAUAACAACUGCCAUAUUUAAAGAACAUGACAGUUGCUGUACAAAUUCAAUGCUUCCAGAAGUAUUUUACAGAAAGCUUGGUCUUUGAUUUACAGAAAAAUUAAUCAAAUAUAUAUGGUAAGAACAAUUGUAAGUAUAAUUUUCUGCUAAUUACCCAUUUGUCUAAACCAUAAACUCAAAUCAUUCACAGUGAAUCAAUGACUGUUCACAUAUCACGAAGAUUCUGAAGUAAGUGGUCCCUUUCUUCAUUAGUCAACUCUGCGUUUUAUCAUGCAUGUCUGUUUCAACAUAGAAGGAAGCAGUUAAAGGAAUCUAAUAGUUCUUCUUAAUUCAUAGAGGGUUUCUCUUCUUACCGGAAAUGUGUUGUUGAAGAAACUUUUUGGUGAGAUUCUUGAUAUUCUUCGGCGAAGGUCUUCAGAUAAAAGAGAAGAUCCAUAUGAAAAAUUCUCCAAGUAAAUAAGAAUAACACAAUUAUGAUGAUAAGUGUGCAAAGUAUUAAUUAAGAAUAUAGAAUAAAAUAAAUUGUAUUUAUUAAAGAGUUAUUAUUUAUAGAUUUUUUGGUAACGGUCAUUAUUGGGUUGGCUUUAUGACGGGUAGAGUAGGUACAGUUUCUUUUAUAUUUUACUAUUAAAUACAUGUUUUAUUAAUAUUUUCUUUAAAAAUAGUAUUUAUUUUAAAUAAUGUAUUAUGUCAAACUUAUAUUCUACUACGAAUAAAUAAAUAAAUAAAAAUAUUUAAAUAUUUUGAGAUCCAUAUUUCAAGAAUGAAAUAAUCUAAGAAUGAUAUUUUUUUAUUUAUUUAUCAGCAAUAAUCUACGAAUGAUAAUAAAAUAAAUUAUAAUUGAAUGUUUUAUAUUACUAAAUUUUAUUAAAGCAUCUAUUCCUAAACUUAAAUAUUUUUUAAUGGGAAUAAAGAAUUAACUAAAACACAAAGGUAUUUAAGGGCAACUUUUGUUGUUAAAUAAAUAAAUUAAAUUAUUUAUUUGACUAAAAUUAAUCUUUAGUCCAUAUUGGUUAGUGAAUGUAUAAUUUUGGUUCCUAUCAAAAUUUAGUACAUUAAUUUGAACUUUUAGAAUUUUAAAAUUAAACAAUGAUGACAGAGUCUUAAUGCUUUUUUCAACUUCUAAUAAAAGUGGUUGAUAUCCAUCACUGAUAAUUCUUUUUUUUGAAAACUAAUAAUAAUAAUAUUAGUUACUCAUUUCUAUAAACUACAACAAAAUUAUUAAAUAAAAAUCAAUUUUAAAGACCACAAAUAAUUAAUUAUUACAGUAACUAAAUUAGAUACUAUUUUAGAGAUUAAAAAAAUUUAUUAAUUUCUAAAUUAGUUUUUAUUAUUGAUAAAUAAUUUUUAAAUUAGUAUCUAAUUAGUUACCAAGAUUUUUGCUGCCUAAUUUAGAAUUUAAAUAAUUGGUAGUUAAAACCUUGGUAGCUAAUUAGAUAUCAAUCUAGAAAUUAUUUAUCAAUAAUAGAAACUAAUUUAGAAAAAAACUCAAUAAUGUUUUUAGUAUCUAAAAUAGUUUCUUAUUUAUUUAGUCAUUAUAGCAACUAACUAUUUUUUAUUUCUAAAAUUAGUUUCUAUUUAAUGAUUUUUUUUUUAGUGUACUAAUAUUAUUGUUUAAUUCUAAAUUUUAAAAUUGUUAUAAAAAUUAUUUUAUUUUUUUUAACUAAAUGGAUGAUAUAUUUUGUUGGAUUAAAAUUGCUGAAUUUAAAAAACUUAGAGGACCAAAUCUGUAUUUCAGCAUAUAUGUCAUCUUCCUACUUAGAAAGUUGUUAAUCACGCGUAAUUGUUGUCGUUUUCGUGUUAAUGAAGGAGUAAUUAAGUUUGUUGGGCAUUUGAGUUGGUAUUAGCUUUUAUGCUUCAUUAAUUGUGUUUUAAGUAGUUGUCAUCAAAUUAUUACUUAGGUAUUUUAGCAUUUAAUAAUUAUACUUACCAAUGUCAUUUUCCUACUUUUCAAAAGUUGUUAAUCACACCUAAUUUAUGUUGUCUCUUUCAUGUUGAUGUAUUUAGAGAGGAGUAAUUAAUUUUAUUGGGUUUUGAAUUGAUAUUACCUUUCAUGUUUAAUUAAUAAUUACAAAAGACAAAUUUACUAAAAUGAUAACCUAGUUUAUGUACAUUUUUUAGUAUGAUAUUUUAUUUUAUUUUGAUUUUAUUAUAUCAUAUCAUUGUUUAGGAUUUUCAAUUUUUACUUUAUUAUAAGAGUCUUAUAUUUUUUUAUAUUUUAUAUAAAAAGUUUUGCGUUGGUAACUAAAGUUAUUUAACGCGUGAAGGGAAAAAUGCGCUAAAUGACAAAAAAAGCAUUUACUUGUUUUGAAGAAUAUAAAAAAUUUGAUUUAGUAUUUAAAAAUAACAGUACAUUUAAAUGUAGUUGUGGAUAGGAUGAUUGAACAUAAAAUAUAAGUAUCAGUUUGUGUUUGACUGUUAUAUAAUUUUUUUAGAGCUCUUAUUUUUAUAGAAUAUGAGUGUAUUUCGUAUAUUAAUAAAUUAAUUAUUUACGUAUUAAGUUAAUUUCAUUAACACAAGUGUUAUGUAAGUAUAUCAAAAUAGUUUAUUUUAAGGAUGUCUACUUAUAAGUUAUAAAUUAUUUUAAUUAAUUUUUAGUUUGUUUAUUUUUUUUUUCCAUUAACACUACUUGUAUUUAAUAUUUUUUUAAUUAUUAUUACUUAUUUUAACAUGUAUUCAAACUAUCAACCUUAAAAAACAAGUGAUUAAAUAACUUGAAUGUAAAGUAAAAAAAAUUUAGAGAAAAAAAAAUAAUUAAUCAUUCUAUUGAUUAAAUUAUAUAUUAGUUUAUAAAAAAAAUUAAUAUAUAAAAUAAUUUCUAUUAUUAAUAAAUAUUUUAAUUAAUUAACAAAAUUUUACCUACCACACCCUAUCACAACAUUACUUUAAUGGUGAAUCACAACUUGAUAUUCAAUCUAAUAAUACUCACUUAUUCUUAUAAAAAAAAUCUUAAGAAACAUACUUUCCCCCUUCAUGGAAACACACCAUUUACUUUAUUUUUAACUUUCGAUCAAUUCUUUACAAAACGUAUACUUCACCAUAUCUCAAAUCAUACAUCAAAUAAAUACAUAUAUAUAUAUAUAUAUAUACUAACAUUUCAACCAUCACACACUUUACUCUUCUAAAUAAUCAAUUCAUUAAAUAGAAGUAACUAUUACCUCUCUUUAUUGUGUAUAAAAGAGUACAUGUUUUCAAGAUAAAAUAAAAUAUCAUAAACCCUAAACCCUAAACAUAAAUAACAUAUGAUAAUUUCAUCAAUUUAAGAGGAAAAAUAACUUAAACAUGACAUUGUGAGAAUUAGGAAAAAUAGUGGAAGAAUGAAUAUAAAAAAAAAGAGUAUAUUUUUACUCAUAUAAAAUAUUAUUGAUUAUGUUUAAUCAUAUUAAAUUAAAAUUUAAUUUAAUUUUUUAUGAUAUUAUUUUUUGCGUAUAAUUAUAAUGACAUUUAUAAUAAUUAAAUUACUUUUUUAAUUGGUAAAAAAUUGAAAUGUUAAAAGAGUUAUAAAAGUGUAAAAUCUUGUGGAGAAAGCUUGUAAGAGAAUCUUAAAUAUUGGUAAAAAAAGUUUUAUUUUUCUAAAAAAAGAGUAAGAUAUUGGGAAGUGUGUAGAGAAUUGAUUGGGAUACCCUGUAAUAAUGUGGGAAGUUUAAAUGAUAGAGGGCAGCAUGGAAGUUUCUCAUUGCCAUUCACUGCGGUGGCUGUUGAGAUUUUAUUGCUAUUGCUCGUGCUGUAACUACAGCACUGGGGAAUGAAGAGGCUCAUCACUCAUGACUCUUUAAUGCACUCACUCAAGCUUGUUGUGGAAUUCGAGUCCCCAAACACGUUAUCAUCACACAAAACCAACUUAACAUAAAUGUUUUAUAAUAAAAUAUUGCGAAUCACUUCAUAAAUAGGUAGCUUUUUUUUGGACUCAUUUUUUUUCCCACCUUCCAAACUUAUUAUCUUUCCGCGUUUUGUGCUGGACUUUGGUUUCUUCUUCUUCUUCUUCUUCUUCUUCCAAGAAGGUUACCACUUCUCCACUUCAAGGACAUUGUCCACUUCAGGUUUUGGCACUUGACAACAUGAAGGUUUCUGGCUUCUUUGCUUUGCUCUUGGUGGUUGGAGCAACUGUGAUGUUCUUUAACAUCUUAGUUCCUACUAGUGCAUCUUGGGCAUCUGGUAUAUAUAUACGUCUUCUUUUCUUUGCUACUACUUGUUGCAACUCUUUAUUUCAUUUGACAAAAUUAGUUAGAUCUCUCAUGCAAAUCUUCAACUUUUUUGUCAUUAUCACCAUGUAAGACAAGCUCAUCGGUUAAAAGACACAUGGGGUGUUUUGAAUUUUGUCUUUGAUCUUGCUAUGUUUCUUCCCUUUCUUCAAUCUUUUUCCUUUUUACUUUGGAUAUGUAUAAAGAGAUAAGGGUAUGCAUGCAUUAGUGAUGACAGCUUCCAAUCCACAAACUCUUGAAAAAAUCUCACUCUUUUUUCUUCAGUAGACAAACUGUUUUUGUUAUUAUUCUGUUGAUUGUUUUCUGACUAUACCAACAUGAGCCACUAAGUUGAGACUUGCGACAACUUGGUAGUGUUGGCCCAAGCAUCGAGUCCUUGAAUUGUACGAGUAAUUCAUGAUUUGACAUAUAUAAUUGAUCAUGAGAAAAAGGUAACAUGCUUUUAAGUUCUAAACAUGCAAUAUAAUCUUUUGAGAUGCAAACAUAACUUGACGCAGUUGACAUUUUUAUAUAAGCUAAAAUGCAUUCAUGGGUAGAAUAUGUGUCGCAUAGAGCAGUUUCUCUGUAAGCAUUAAAACUAUGAAAAAAAAGUACUUCUUCACUAGUUAGUAAGAGACACUGAUGAUUAAGUUCCUCUUAACUUCAUCUGCAUUUGAUAAUGUGUGUGGCAGUAUAAUUCAAUUCAAUCAAAACACUGCAUGCAUCAAUUAACGUUCUUCUAGAGAUCAUCUUCUGUAGGGAGAUGAAGGAGAUUAUCUUGGAUAUUAUAUUGCUGAUAACUUAAUGCCUUUAUGUAACCUGACAUUUUUUAGUAUCAUCUCAGAUUUGUUCAAGACCAACUUUGGAGAUAAAGCCACACUCACUGCAGGAAGCAGGAAACUGAAGGUAUGAAUGCUUUAUAGCCCUUGGACUUAAGCUCUGGCCCUUGACCUUUCUGGUUAAAGAAGUCAAAACCUAAUUAUAAUGGGAUGUUACAUGGUAAAUUUGAUGUUAAUAUUAACUAUAACUUCAAAGUAAUGGUUAAGUAAUGGUUGUAAUAGACUGAUCAUAGGGAGAGCAAAAAAAAACAUUUGGAUGGACAGUGUCAAGGAAAGUGUUAAUUAGAUUUGAGAAUGCAUUGGAUAACAAUUGUAAGAGAGUUGUGGUUACGUAAGAACAAAAGGAUUUUCAAAGUUGGUAGGAUAUAUCACAUUGAAAUUUUCACUCUGGCAUGUAUGAUAGUUUGGUCAUGAGUAAUGUCUAAAGCGUGUGAUGUAAGUUUUUCGUAUUCAGAUUGGUAACUUGAGCCAUUGCAUGAUAUUAGUCAAUUUGUCUAGAAGUUAGUUAACAUGAGUAAAAGGUGUCUGUAUUUAGGUUUUUAAUUGUUGUAAGAAGGUUAGAUGAUAAGAGUCCUAAGAAUUUAAAAGGUUGAGCCUUAAGUAAUAGAAGAUGAAUAUUACUGUGAUAAUGUAAAACUUUUUACACUAACAAAAUACAUACUUCUCUUUGAAAUUUCAGGAAAAUGGAAACAAUAUUAAAAGGGGCAUUAACAACCAUGGUGAUCUGGGUGAAGUGACUCUGACGGAUUACAAUCCCAUUGAUCCACCUCCAAGUUCUUCAACAAAGGCCUCUUUAUAUCCUGGGCCUAUAGAGCAUGGAAGCCCUCUGAAUCCAUACAUCCCAAAACCUUCACCUCCUGAUCCUCCUAAACCUGGAGAUUCUGACUAACUUUGCAGUCUCUUGAAGCAUGCUAGUAGAUACUAUUCUCAGAAGAGGAACGCUAUUCACACUCUUUUGACAUAUUUCUUCUGAUGGGAACAUAAGAAAUUGUUCAAAGUAAUGUGUUGGUAGCAUUGCUCAUGCUGAAAAUAAAGAUAGAGGACUUGUUCUCACACGUUGUUUAGUCAGUUUUUUGUGCAUUGUUGUGCUUAUAUGCUGUGUUGUGUUCCCAUGUGGUAGCUGUGAAAAAAAGUUGUGCCUUUGAGCAUCCUAUGUAUUGGUCAAUGUACGUAUUUGUAAUGUUUUUCCAUGCGUAUUUCUAUAUUUGUUAGUUUGUGUUUGUGCAACUUCAGUAGUAUGUUCAUUUUUUAUCAUAUAGAUUCGUUGUUAUAAAAUUGCAUACAUGAUGCUUGUAUCCCAUUUGAGAUUUUUGUUACCAAAUUUGGUAAUUGUUAUUCUAAUCGCAAGGAUAAUAAUUUUCUAAUGGAUCCAAAAGGUUUCAAAGUUGUUGAAGAUAACCAGAACCAGAAGUGAAAGCACAGAGGCAUUCCAUUGAAAUCCAAAAUUGAUUAAGAAUAAUACCACACUUGGGCUAAACUUGUUGAGUCACUUAUUGCUUAAGAUAAAAUUAUUAUCUCUUUGAUCACUGGAAUUUUUUCAUCAACCAUUGCCACUAGGAUUCCUACUAUUACAAGUAAAGAGGGGUCCUUCAAUUCACGUCGCAUCAACCUUUUCUUUUUCCCAUUUCACUUUUCUUGACUUCUUAAUAAUACCUAGCAUGUCAUUGUAAUCUUCCAAAGAUGUAACAGCUGUACGUGGGGAUGCAUCAACUCCUUUCAAAUUCGAUAUCACUUCAUAUUAUUACAAAAUAAAUAUUAAAUAAAAGUGAAAGUAAUUAGUUAAUAUAUUAACUAAAUUAGAUAUUUAUUAUUUUAAAAAUUAAAAAAAUUAUUAGUAUUUAAAGUAAUUUUUAUUAUUAAUAAAAUUUAUAAAAUGAUUUAUAAAUUGGUAUCUAAUUAGCAUUCUAAAUUUAAACUACCAAUUAGCUUAGAUUUUAAAGUUGGUAGCUAAUUAAAUAUUGUGUCAUCCUGGAUCUAGUCAGAAUGUAGGAGAGACUCAUGACUAUCGAUACACAUGGAAGAAAUCCGUGUGACAAUGAAACUCGAAUUUAACUCAUCCUCCUCGUGGGAUAGAGACCUAGGAGACCCGACAACUUACUCCCCGAAAGACCCGAGAGUGCUUGAUCCCUGAGAGAGUCCACUCAAAUCUUAGUUAUAUUCGUGAAAUAACAACCCACUAAUACCAAGAUUCUAGCGAAAACUCGUAACUAACUUUCGAAUUAUGGUCAAUUUGUUUGAUUGUUGCGUGAAUUUUCCAAAUUUUAUUCAAGGCCUAAAUCAUCUAAAAUGGGAUCGAAUUUUAUUUUCGACUACUUCAAGAAAAAAGUUAAUGACUCUGCAAUCUAGAAAAAGCCUUUGAACCUAGAAAAAGUCUUUGAGUCUGAGCAAAUACCAAUUUAUAAUCUAAUUUAUAAAUUUUAUUAAUAAUAUAAAUUACUUUAGAUACUAGUAUUUUUUCUAAUCUCUAAUACGUUAUUUAAUUUAAUUAAUAUAAUAACUAAUAUUUUUUUCUCUAAAAUUAAUUUAUUUAUAUGUAAAAAAAUUGUUGUAGUAUAUAUAUAUAUAUAUAUAUAUAUAUAUAUAUAUAUAUAUAUAUAUAUAUAUGGGACGAAGCAAUGUAUGUAUAACUUUUUUUAAACCCCAUUGGGAGGUACCAUGUGCCUUAAGUGAGCAAAUAUUGUUUAGCAUGGUUGAUGAAAAGUUAUGCUUUUAGAAACCCAUAAUUAUUGUUUGAAGUGUUUCUCAAGUGAUGAUCCUUUUGAACUUCUAACUAGAGCGAUUUUGUAGUGUGGGUUUGGUUAAAUUGAAGUCAUCAUCAUAAAAUUAGUAUCACACGCUUUUUAGUGGACCUCUUAACCAACAAUGUCCGCAUAUAUGACUUUUUCUUGGCAACGUGAUUUGAUGCUCUCCGUUUCUUACAAUGUUCUCAACCAAUCUUUUGGUCAAAUUAGACCACCUUCUCUCUUGUAAUGCUUUCAACUUGAAGAAUAAAGUUAUAAUGAGUGAUGCUUGAAUAAUCAAAUUUACCUAAGUCUGCCAGAUUUUUUAGAAAAUAUGUAUAUCAUUUUAUUACGAAAUGGACUUUAAGUUUAACUCAAACUCUUAAAACUGGUUCAUGUGGUGAGGUUUGCACCCAUUUAUAAACUAUGAAAGGCUCUAAUAUCUAGUCGAUGUGGGAUCUCCAACACAUACCCCUCAUGUCGAGAGUGACAGCUCGUACGUGGGAUAACAUAUUAUGGGUGGUCCGAUAGCGGUCCGACAACAGGUGGCACAAUAGACCCAACACAAACACUCGCUAGAAUAGGCUCGAAAUGGUUCUGAUAAAUAAUUAUCUCUAACUCAAAAUCUUCAAAUCCUAGUUCUUAAAACUUUUUUUACAUUUUAAGAUUUUAUUUAAAAAUGAACUUUUUAAUCCAACCUCAUAAAGCUAAUUUAUAAAAUAGAUUUACAUUUAUUUAUAUACUAUAAAAUAUUUUAAUUUCUAAUAAUCGAAUUUUCAACGACACACAUAAAUAUAUAUUAAAUUUAGAUUUUUAUAGACUCGGUACAAAAAUUAUAAUCUGACAAGUAUUCUAUUUCUUUGUGCAAAUUUUAAGAAAUUAGUCAAUAGGUUGAUUACAACAUAGUUCUCAAUCACGGCUACAUCAGUUGGUCUUAUCCCUUUGGUCCUACCAUGAGACAUUCUCUAGUCACUAGGUAAUGUAUAAAUGAAUUUAUGAUUGUAUCAACAAAAUUAAAUGCAAGAAAUUAUUACCAAUUUUGAAUUUUUGAAUUUGUCAUUGUGUUCUUCCUUCAAAUUUUGGUUUUUCACCAAAGUAUUUUUUUUUCCUGUGGAUUACAAUUUUAGAUAAAAUUUAACUUAUUAAAUUUUGUUUAAAAAAUAUUAAAAACAUGUGUUUCUAUAAUUGAUUUUUUGGAAAUUUGUUUUUAGAAAAAAAAAAUCUUAUAUUUUUUAUUAGAAGGUAACAAUACAAUGAAACACGUCAGAAGGAAGUUUUAAAAAGGGGAGAAAAAAUUACAUAGUAUGAAAUUGAUAUUAAUAAAGAGUAUGGAUGAUUAAAAGUUAGCACGAUAAUUGGCAUCACAUCACAUGGAAGUUCAAAAAACAAAAGAAAAAACAAGUUUUAAAAAAAAUUAGGAAAUGAAAAAGUGCAACAUGGAUACGUAGCAGUAGUAUUUUAGUGUGUGUAGUUUGUUUGGAAAGAAACUUGUGAAUGGAUUUGGUUAAGGACCUACCAAAGUUGAAGAGGACAAUCACUACUAAAGCAAAGGGAAAGAUAUAAAGAGAAGAGAAUGAACACAGACAGUUCUGGCAGGAGCAUCCUGAAAAGUGAUGCUUUUUUGCUUAGCUUGCAAAAUCAUGUCAAAGAGAAUUGUCCCUUCUUUUUGUUCUUAAAAGGGUUCUUAGUUAUCUAAUUACUAGAGCAAUUAAAGUUGAACAAUGAUCACACCAUCUCAUUUGCAAUGAAAACAAUUAGCAUUUCGUGAUUCUUUAUCCUUUCUUGAGCCGCAUUGUGCACUUUGUUUCCUUGCCCAUGUUUUCUCUCACUCUAUGGACAACAUCAUUGUUCCUCACUAAAUAUUCUAGAGAGGUAUCAUCAUCUCUCAUUAAUACUCUUCUUGUCCUUGUGAUGGACCUAUGUGAGGGUGUCUUGUGGCUAAUUAAGUUUUCCAAAUAUAUUAUUAUAAUCUUAUUAAAGAAAAUAAAAAAAAGAUUGAAUAAAAGAUUUUGAUUAUAGAAGGUUUAUGUAUAUACAAAGAACUCUUACACAAUAUUAUUUCUACAAAGAUCAUAGGAACUAUAUUCUAUGUAUAGAUCUAUGGAGGAUGAGUAAUAGAAGACCAUUAAAAAAAAAAAUAGUUAUAAGAUAGUUAUAACAAACACGUAUUAGACAAUUUGACCCGUAUACCAGAUAGUCUAACACUACUAGAAGAAUUUUAGUAGAUGGUCUUUUUAUCUUUUAUAUCAGAUAGUUUAACCAUUUGAUUAAACUCUUGUACGUAAUUUAGAGUUAUUCAUCACACCUUUUAUUAUAAUUACUUCUAGUAUAAGAUAACGAGUUUAAACUAGAAUCAUUCCAUAAAUAGUUAAAUUCAAUUUUAUUUAGGGUUAAUGAGUUUUGUGAAGCAAGGUGAAAUAAAGUAUGUUUUUCAUCCCUGAUUGACAUUGUAAUAUAGGAUCUCAUUAUAUGCGACAUUUGUCAAGGUUAGUUAUUGUUUAUAUAUAUAUAUAUAUAUAUAUAUAUAUAUAUAUAUAUAUUGUAUAUAUAUAUAUAUAUAUAUAUAUAUAUUUGAAUCUCAACUAAAAAAGAUGUUAACAUCGUCUUAUUCUUGAUUUAGGAAUGAUCGAGACCGACUCAUGCUCAAUUAAUGACUAUCCAUAUCUUAGUGACUUUUGAAGAUUGCAUUGUGCUACUGAGCAUAUUAACCUUUUACCUUUUGUAAUCGACCUAUGAAUAAGAUUCGCUCUCUCAGAAGAGAUGAAUUACAAAAUGAAUUAGUAAUGUGCAAGAGAUUAUACUGAUUUAGAUUUAAAUUUAGGUAAUUUAAACCAGACUGUUAUUUUUAAAUUGAGGUUCAAAGGAGAUUACUUGUAAAGUUCUCAACUUAGUAUCAGUUGUAUUAAAUUCACAAUGCUUAUUUAUUUAUAGUCACAUUGUAAUGAAGUGUAUUCUUGGAGGGGCAUAUACAAGGGCAUUUCACUGGCAUAUAUCACAUUUCUUUCUAUUUUGGGCAUCACCUCCUAUUUGUUUUGUCACCAAGCAUAACUACACAUAAUGACUAUAAGUUCAACCUUUCACAAAGAAGAAAAUAGACAUGGUAAAUUUGAAGGAAGACAACUAGAUUAGAAGAUUUUAGCAGUUGCUUCAAAGAACAAAGUCCACCCCUAGUGCAAACAAAUGUUUUUUUUUGUGUUUUAUUUGUUUUUGGUUUGGAUUUUCUGCUAUGAUUCAAUGUUUUUGGUAAACUUGGAGAAUUGGAUAAUCCGAUAAACUUAUGAAGAAAAUUUGUUUCAGAUUAUAUGUUUUUACGUUUUUAAGUAUUCAGAAGCUUGUUCUCUUACUUUUUGUUGGUUGUCAAUCCUAAACCAACAUCAUUAUAUUCAAGUCUGAUUUUAUAUAUGGAAUAUUGCUCUAAAUAUUUUCUUUUAUUUAAUUAUUCUUUAUCAAUAAAAUAAGUGUAUUCUUGGGAUCUUAUCUUUGGGUGUUGAUUUUAAUUUUGCUCCAACUAUUUAUAAGAGUAAUGUUUGGAACUUAAACCAACUAGUAAUUAAGGUUACUCUGUAGUAUUUAGUUUGGUAUUAGACAGAACUAUUACAAUUUUAUCAAUACUAAAAACUAAAAACCACCAUCUUGAUGAAUUAAAAGACAAUAAAAACGUUUAUAAAAAUUACUGAUCAUUCCUUUACUUCUAAAUGACUUCUGGAUCAGAAUCCAUCCAUCCAUAUACGCACUGGAAUCAACCAGAAUGGGCAAAUUGCUUACAGAAAAAAAAGGUGACAUAGACGAAUUUUAGUGGAUGCUAAAACUGAUCUUUAAUAUUUUCUGAUCGUUAGAAGGGAAAGAAAGAAGCCAUAAUGAAAUAGAGUGGUGAAGAAGGAAGUAGCUUUUAGUGGUCCUAUACGCGUUAAAAGUGAAUGCAUGCAUGUGUUCUGUCCAAGUGUCCAUACACCAUUUUUAUUAAAUUUGGUUUUCGAAUGCAGCAUAUUUGUGAAGUGGAUAGUGCUUCCACAUUCUCAGAUCCAAUAUCCAAAUAUAUGCAUAUAUGAUCCUUCAAUUUACCUGCUGUAAAGCAUUAACUCAUGACUCCAAAAGUUUUCUAAGGAUAUUUCAUAUCUAAUAGAAAUAAAGAUAUUUUAUAAUAUAUAAGUAGAUAUAAAUCUUACUUUAUAAGUUAGUUUUAUAAAGUUAAAUUAGAUUUAAAGUUCACUUCUUAAUAUGAGUUUGUUCCGGACAAUAGUCACUACAAGAAAAUCAUGAAAUAUAAACCAAUUUUUAGAGACCAAAAUAAUUAGUUGCAAUAGUAACUAAAUCAGAGACCAUUUUAGAAAGUAAAAAGAAAUUUGGUUUCUAAAUUAGUUUAUAUUAUUGUUAAAUAGUUUCUAAAUUGGUAUCUAAUUAGCAACCAAGGUUUUAGAGACUAAAUUUAGAAACUAAAUAAUUGGUAUCUAAAACCAUAGUUGCUAAUUAGAUACCAAUUUACAAUAAUAGAAACUAAUUUAGAAACCAAUUUUUUUGUUAGUUUCUAAAAUGGUCUUUAUUUUAGUUCCUAUUGUAACUAAUUAUUUUGGUCUCUAAAAAUUAGUUUCUAUUUCAUGAUUUUCUUGUAGUGAGUCUUGGCGAUCUCAAACCUAGAACAUUCAAAGUGACAAAGAAUAUGUACACUCUUAGUUAGUUUGUAAUCUGUCUUUUUUCUUUCUUUCUUUUUUGUGUGUUCUCUUAUACUAAAAUUUUCACCUUAUCUCCUUUGUAUCUAACCUUGUUAUUGGCCUAAUUCAAUAAUAAAUGUUACCUCUUAUUUAAGUUUGAUUAUUUGGAAUCUCCUGAUUUGUGCUGAUACGACAUUACUGUCUUUAAAUAUGAAUAUCGAUAGACGAUGUCUUUAUAUGAAAUAUCGGAUUCGAUUCAUAACGCUACAACCCCCCUAACCUCAAGCAUAAACUAAUGAAGCUAAAGUUAAGUUUAACUUGACGAUCUCCAACCGACCCACCUAUCUCUCAAUCGGACUUGACCAAUGAUACUAUAGAGUUCAAAGUCGUCUAAAAUCUAUCUUAACGACAAUUUGUUGACCUUAUCAAAUCAUCCGUUAUCAGAACAUCCAUAAUUUGGAAUCUCACGCAUGAAUUCAAGGUAUUAAUAAUUGGAGAGCUAUCAUAUUUCAUAAAUGCAAAUUAAAUAUCGCUAUGUUGGUCACACCUUUGGGGGAAAGUAAAGUUUAUAGUUAAAACAAUCACAGAUGACAGAACCUUUUAAGAGCUAUAACUGCUACCCUGGUAUUAAUUACAAAUUUUGCAGGAAGAAAACACAAGCAGGUAAAACUGUUCAUUUUUCACUUGGCAGUUAGAAGUAUAUUCCCCAGAUAACUUAAUUAGUUGCUGUAAGGGAUAUAUGAAAAAUUUAAGCAACAUUACAAUUCAGAAUCUAACGACUUGGAACUUUUUGUGAUAUCAUGUAUUUUGUAAAUUUAUCUCACUUGAGUUUUUCAUUCUGCAUGAGAUUGUGAAUUUGUGAGGAGCACAAGUUGAUUGAAAUGCAAAUCCAGACAAUUUUCCAGUUAAGAUUAUUGUCCUUAAUCUUUCUUUGAGAAUUAUGACAUUGAAUUAUUAAAAACUCUUAGUUCGUACUAUCUAUGCAAGUGUUCAACACUAGCCAAACCAAGUUGAGUAACUAACAAUGAUUAAUUGCAAUUAAAUCAGACCAGAUUGUAAAAGUGAUUACCAUAGCCAUAAUGUUGUAAUAUAGCAAUCGUAGGAAAGCAUAAUGAUGUUAGAUCUUGUAUUCAAUUUGCACACAUCUAAUGCUUAUAGGCAGUUAAAUAUUUUUUAUUUUAAUACUAUAAUGAUUAUGAAAAACUUGUUCUCUUUGAUUUUAGGGUAAUGUGCAUGAAAAAAAAUUAGUUAAAAUUAUUAAAAUGAAUUUGUUAAAAUUAUUAAGAAGUGUAUUUUAAAUUUAAAAAGUAAAUUAAUCUCAUUAAAUAUGAAGUUUGUAUUAAUUUAUAUAUUAUGAAUUUUUUAUCUCACGUAAUAUCUUUAACAAAAAUCAAAUAAAUAUACGUAAAAUAUUUUUAUUAUUUAAGUAUAAAUAAUUAUACUUGAUAUUUGGACUAUUUAUGUUAUCUCUAUGUAGAUGUGGAUCCAAUAAUACCCAUUUUUGUUAUAAUUAUUCGAAAAAUCAUAUUUGAGAUUAUUUUUCUUAAUUAAAAAUUUAUAUAAAGUCAUUAUAUGAAAAUUAAGCUUUAAAAAAAGUAUACACAAUAUUUUGCCGUUUAUUUGUUUGCAUUCAUUCAGUAUAAAAUCAUUUGCUAAAGUUCAGCAGUUAAUUACAGUUCAUUUUGUAGUUCCCUUAAGUGGACACAUACACACAUCUCCUAUUUUUGUUUCAUUACUAAAAUGAGAAAAGGAAAAGUUAAGAAGAAGAUACUUGCCCCUUUCUAAUUAAUGACUCUGAAAAAUGAGUACAACAACACUUGCAAUCCAUGCAUACAUAAAAAAUUUAUAUUUUUAUUAUUAUAUAAAAUAACAAAUGAAAAUCACUCAAAAUAUCAAUUUUAGAAUAAUUACUAAAAAAUAAAUAAUAUGAUAAUAUAAGAUAUGUAAGGUUUCGUUUAAGAAAAUAUUGAAAAUAGAAUAUCAAUUAAUUAAAAACUAAUUUGUUCACAUUUGCUAUAGUCUAAUUUUCAAAAUAAAACCUUCAUUUUAACAAGAAAAAAAGUGUUACAAUAGUUUAUUUAGGGUCUUAUGUUGUAUAAAGGGUAAAAGUUUAUAAAGGUUGAAAAACUGAAAAGUGAAAGCGCGGGUGGCACUGCGUGCUCCAAAACUGAAUUAAUUAUGUAGAAAGUUAUCGAUAAGAGACUACCAAUUCCUCCGAACUUUUGUACCUUGUUCCAAUUCGAUACGCUGAAAAGGAAAAACGGCUAUUUCAUAAUUUUUCGCCUUAACGACCAAUUAUAUAAAAUUGAGUAGUGUCGUUUGCGUAACGUCUCUCCGAAGAUUCAUUCCCUCACCCAAACGCAAAUAUCCAAUUCCAACUUCAACCCUUCUUUGUACUUUCCACAUCGUACUCUUCCUUUCUCUCCGUGUCGUUUUCACGUUUACUAUUUUUAUUUCUUUUUUUAUUUUUUUAUUUGUUUUUAUCAAAAUUAAAAAUGACGUGUCAUCAAAGCUUCCAGCCCCACGAAGCACCGCAAACUGACGUAAACCAUUGUGUAUUUACGGCAAUGCCCUUCAAGUCACGGCGAGUGCUUUUACUCUCCCUCGAUCCGCGCGUGCGUGUGCUACAGUGUCCGUGUCACUCUAGUGGUGCCUGAGCUUGCUCCUUCUAAUUUUGGCGUUAAUUUUCACAAGCGAAGCACAAUCGCGCAGCGUGUGACUCCACUGCUACGACAGUUACACUCUUUACUCGGUCAAGCCCCGGCAAAUCGUAACGGUCAUAUUUUCCUUCCCAUUUUCAACCUUCCGCGUGAAUUAGCAGCACCAAAUUUCUCUGCACACGCACGCAUUCUUUUCUCUGUUCGAAUUCCGUUCAAUGCUUCGUGUAGCUUGUUCGUUUCUCGGUUGAUUUCUAGGGUUCUGAGACUCGGCGUGGAUUCCAACGAUUAGUCUCGAGUUUCGAAUUGAAUAUUGUUGAUUGACUGACUGUAGUAAUGAAAAUAUUGUAGAAUUUUGGAAGAUUUUGUAAUGGAAAUAUUGUAAUUAGGAUUAGUAGAAUUUUGGAAUAAAAAUAAUGGUGGCUGCGAUUUCUACGCCGUUAAACCCCAAACGAGCGCAGACUCCAACUCCAAGGAGAACUCCUCUGUUGCCUUCUGAAUCGGACAAUGCACUCGCUCCUCCACGAAGGCCUAAAGCACGAGAAGUUACUUCUCGCUACAUGUCGUCUUCUUCGUCUUCGUCGUCCUCCGUUUCGUCUCCUCCACGACGAUGCCAUUCGCCGCUGGUGGUGACAAGGACGGUCAAUUCUACAAAGCAAACACCAACGCCGGCGUUGAAGCGCUGUCAGUCGGCGGAGCGCCGGCGACAAGGCACUCCUCGGCCUACUCUCACGGACGCUCCGGCGGCUCAGAAAGUGCUCUUCACUUCCACCAGGAGCUUGUCUGUUUCGUUCCAGGGCGAGUCGUUCCCGAUCCAGGUUAGGACGACGAAACCGCCGCCUUCACAGAGUUUGCGGAAGAGCACGCCGGAGAGGAGGAAGGUUUCAACGACGCCGACGCCGGUGAGAAACGGCAAUUCGGAUCAUGCAGAGAAUGCCAGGUCGGGGCUAGAUCGGCACCGGUGGCCUGCAAAAUCACUACCGCGGCCACAACAAGUCAAUUGCGCGAACCGCAGCUUGGAAUGUGUUGAUUCCGCAGGGAGAAAGCAAACGGACGCGCCGGAGAACCUUGUUAGGUCGUUGCAGAAUCUGAUGGAAGAUGUUCUACCUUAUCACGACGCGAUGUUGAAAUCGGAGAGUAACAAAAUUAACGGAUCUGAGUUUCGGCCUGAACCUGAGCUUGAGCCUGUUGCUUCUGAUACCGAAAGUGUAACCUCUGGAAGUUCCUCUGGAGAUGGAAUUCGACGUUCACGAGGGAUCGUGGUGCCGCCGAGGUUCUGGCAAGAGCAUAAUAACCGUUUAAGGCGCCAAACAGAGACUCCGUCUUCUAGAAACGGCGUAAUUGCGAAUAAAGGAACUCUAUCUACUGCUCAUAGUCCUAGGCUUUUAGUGCAGAAGAAAUCAGUGUUGGAUUCUGCUGUUUCAUCGCCACGUGGAGUUGUGAAUAGCCGUGUUCUUCAAGGUUCUCCUAUUCGAUCCGCGGUUCGUCCUGCUUCUCCGAGUAAACUAGCGACGCCUUCUGUGUGGUCUCCUUCGAGAGGAGUGAGUCCGUCACGUGCACAUAACGGCGUCGCUGGUUGCAUGAGCAGUAGGUUCGGAAGUGAACCUUCUGUUCUGAGUUUCGCGGUUGAUGUUUCCAGGGGCAAGGUAGGGGAGAAUCGGAUUGCGGAUGCGCAUUUAUUGAGACUCUUUCAUAACAGGCUCCUCCAGUGGCGUUUUGUUAACGCCAGAGCCGAUGCUGCUCUCUCUGCGCAGACAUUCAAUGCAGAGGUAUUUUUUUUUUUUAUUUCAGAGGUUUUCUCUACUGAAAUUGAAUUGCGCGGGUUUGGAUUUGCCUGCUUGUUCAUUACUCUUUGAAGCUGUAUUGAGUGAAGAUUGUGGAUUGAUAAUUUCGUUUUAAUUUUUUAUGUUAGUUCCAUCUUAGCAUAUGAUCAUGAGCACCCAUGUCAUCAAGGAUUUAAACUGCCUGUUGUGGUUUGUUACAUCCUUGAUGUUGAGGGAAAUUCCAGAUAAAUGUUGCCACGGUUACAGAUGCAGACUGUGGCCAUUGACUGUCUUUUAAACUCGUUUGUAAUCUAAAGGGUGAAGUCAUAUAAGGCAAGAUAGAGUACGGAAGGAUUUUAUAUUUUAUCUGACUGUUUGCUAUUGUUUCUUUUGUUUUACACUUCUCUUUGUGUUAUAUAUUCCUGAUAAAUAUUUCUCGUUGUAUCAGGAAAGCCUCAAAGCUGCAUGGGUAGCUAUGUCAAAAAUGCGAGAAUCUGUUAGAGCCAAAAAAACAGAGUUUCAGUUGCUGAAGCAACAGUUUAAACUGAUAAACAUCCUGAAGGAUCAAGUAAGAUUUACAACUUCCCUGUUCUAAGUUUACUGGUGUAUAUUUAGAUUCUGCAUCACUUGAUUUGAAGCUUUAUCAUUUCUCCACUAGUUUGAUUGUCAUGUCGUCGUGUCCUUCAUGGUACAGCUGCCAUCUCAUGGCAUCUUGUUUCAUGUAAAUAGUUUCAUUACUAUUAUUAUGACCUACUAAUGAAGCUUAUUUAUGUUAUUUUUGGAUUUAGAUACAUUGACAUUGUUCAUUCUUUGAUCUUGUUUUUCAAUUGUGGUUAAUUAGAAAACUCCGGGUGCUAACUGAAAUUGCUCCAAAGUAUAUGUGUUUCAUCCAUUUCAUUUUUUAAGAUCAUAGAACUCUUUUUCUACCACCGGAAAGACAUGCACACAUCUAAUGAGGCAAAACAAGAAAGUGUUCAUUUGGGAAAAAGUCAGUUUGGAUUUGUCUGUGACUAGAAUGAAACUCAAACAGAGUUAGAGAGAUAUUUUUAUUUGCUUUGCAUAUGAUGACAUUGGCUUUGUGUUCAGCUUUGACAGAAUGUUCUUGACCAAAACUAUUUAUGCAGAUGUUGUAUUUGGAAGAUUGGGCUACUUUGGAUCGGGUUUACUCUAGUUCACUUUCAGGAGCUACUGAAGCCCUAAAGGCUAGCACUCUUCGUCUUCCUGUUGUUGGUGGGGCCAAGGUAUUUCUCCUUUUAGCUUAUUGUAUAAUCUUUAUUAAUUAUUUAAUUAUAGAUUAUCUGUGACAUAGCAAUUCUAUAACUGCUUAUUAUCAUAUUUGGGACUAAUUUGAAGAGCUCUGUGUUUGCUUCAGACAGAUUUGCUAAAUUUGAAGGAUGCAAUCUGUUCAGCAAUGGAUGUCAUGCAGGCAAUGGCAUCUUCCAUAUGCCUAUUGUCACCGAAGGUACAUAUUUCUAUUGCCCUGCAUCCUCUUUCAGAUGCCGAGUUUCAAUUAUAUUUGCUGCGAUGAGUGAUCGUAUUAAAGUGUUAUUUUAUUUUCUACAUAACUUUUUAUGAGGCUACAUUAUGAUUAAAGUGUUAUUUUAAUUUUCUACAUAACUUUUUAUGAGGCUACAUUAUGAUUAUGAAAGGAAAAAAAAAAACUGAUUUUGUUGUAUGAUGUGAGUGUAAUCUUAUCAACUGUCUAGAAGAGAAAAAUUUAGGUGUGAUUUUUAUAUACAAGGGCAUAGUAAUGGUUGAAAGCAAGUCUUCCUUCUUAAAAUUUCUCAUAUAGCUAUAAUUCCGAUGGUUCCAUACUUGAAGUUCCUUGGUGUUAUUUGUUGAUUUGUUUAGUUGUUGCCCACUGCCUAUGAGUUAUUCUGUAGAAUUGUCCCAUAAAAGACUGAAAAUUUUCCAAAAUGGUACAUGGUGAUAUCAAGAAUGUUCUGCAUAUCGUGGAACCUAAAAAUUGAGUAAUUUUGAAUUUGAAAACCUAUACUCAGAUUUUGACACUUCAAACUUUCAUGCGGUUGUGCACCCUUAUGAUAUAAAUUCGUUUUCUGAAAGAUCCCAACUUUCAUGCAUUGGUGUGAGAUCCUUGCCAUGGCGUAUGUUGUGUUGAAAUGGAUAUCUUUAGUAGCCGAUCAAUUGUGUAAAUUGUGGAGUAGCAGAAGAAGUGGAGAUAGUAUUAUACAGAAAAGACAUUAGUAAUUUUUAUCAGUAUUAUAUUCAGCAAUAUGUAAUUGAAUAAUGCUGUCGAAUGAAACCCGUGCAAUUUAAGUAAAUUCACAUACAAAUCAAGUGAGAUAUUUGACAGGAUGUAGAAUAAACAAUAUUUUUCACAGUUGUACUUUUGUAGUUUCUGUUCAUUACACUUUGCUAUGCUUUUACCAUAAUUACGUCAUUGUUUUUAGCCUAUAUAGAGACAGAGUGCCUAUGUUUGUGCAGCCAAGAACACAAAUGGUCAUUGAAAAAUAAGGAAAAUAGAGUAUAUCACAAAGUGAAUAUUUUUAUUUUAUUGUUUGAAGUAUAUAUAACAAGCAACUGAAGUAAGGUUUUCUGGAUCUUUCGUGGAAAUUAAAUGAUGAGAAAAAGUUGUUUCCUAUCCUACUUCUUGAACAAAUAAAGAAUCCCCCUUCACGGCCUCCAUCUCUUUGGACAUUAUUGUUCAAUUUGGCUUAGGGACCAGUAUAUUUAAAAUAAUGUUUAAAAAUGCAGAGUUUACAGAAUAAAAGAUAGGUAUUAUUACAUCCAGCAUGUCGGUCGAGUUUAUCAUUGGCGUAUCUGUUCAGAUUACCAUUGGCAUUCAUCUUUUUUCAAUUUUGUUUCACAAUUGUGAGAAGAGUGCAAUAGGGAUCCAUUUGUGAGGAAAACAACUAAAUCCAGUAAUAUAACAUGAGUUGAUUAUUGGCUUGAAUCUUGUUACAAACAUGGAUCUUUUAUGUUUGCCUAGUUUUUCUUUUCUUGGUGUAUUCAUGUGAAUCAAUUUUAGUGAAAAAAGCAUCGAGGAGUUCACGGAUAAUUAAUAUUUACAUUAUCCAAGACACUGAAACACUGUGCAGCAUGCUAUUUUUUUUUUUAUGUAAAUCAUUUUACUUUUUAUGUUAGGUUUGCUCAAUUUAAUCUCUGUCUAGAACUUUUAAAAGUAAGAUAAAAGGGGAUGGGGAAUACUUUUUUAGGUCUUAAAAGUUGAAAUAUUUAAAUUAGGUGAGAAAAUUAAGAGUCUAUUUAUUUUGCUUUAAAUUUUUAAAGGGGAUAAAUAUGACUGAUGCUCUUAUCUCUGCUUCUGUGGUUUUAUUCUGUUAUGAGUCAAAAUAGUUUUUUGUUAUGGAUCAGUUAUGUUGUAAUUAGGAUGCCAUUAUGCCUGAAUUUUUUUGCAAUUGAUAGGUUGGACAAUUAAAUUCGCUGGUUGUCGAUGUUGCCAACUUAAGUGCGAAGGAGCGUGUUUUGCUUGAAGAGUGCGAAGACCUUUUAUCAGUAAUUACAACCUUGCAGGUAAAUUUCAUAUUUUGGAGACAUGUUAUUGAAGCUUAAAGUACUUUUGAUUUUCCUUGGACGAUGCGGUUAUAUGACUAGAAAUUGGUUAAUAAAAUCUUGAGCAGGUUAGAGAAUGUAGCCUGAGAACGCAUGUUGCUCAACUGAAAUGUCAACCUAGAAGCACUGCAGUAAAAAUAACAAGCAAAUAAUACAUUGUCUACCCAGCCAACUUUCAGUGCUAACAUCAUAACAUAGGAAUGGUUGUUUUGGCCUUGAAUUCAAUACAUGAAAUAGUCACUACUGAUGGAGAAAAGCUAGUUAGUAUGAAAAAAGCAAAAAUUACAGAUAGCACAAAUAUUCUGGUCAAACAGGAUUUCGUCAUAUUGUACAAAGAAACUCGUAACAAAUAGUUUCUCUCUGAUUCACAAGCGCUAGGAGUGAGGAUUGAAAUUUGUCGUUCGGGAGUUAGUUUGUACACACAUUUUUUCUUUUUCUUUUUUUGUUAAAGGUUGUAUAUAAACCGUGUAGCAUUUUAUAUUGUAGUUUCUUUGCUUUUGGUUUGUAUUUGUGAGUUUGUUGUAUUAGCUUAUGGGGGGAAAAAUGCCAAAAUGUGGAUAGGGUUUGCUGUAUUUUCUACACUCCUUGGACACUUGCUUUUGAUAUCUGACAUCCUCGUCAUUUAAAAUCAGGUAUGAAAAUUAUCCUUUAUCAACAUAAAGGACUCAUAUUUUUCUAAGCCUUUUUAUCGUCCGUUACUACAAUGUUGUGCAUUUGAUUGAUUUGGUAAAUAUUAACGUUAAUAUUUUGAAGUUAUGGUUUGCUCAUUAAAUUUAUGUACGGUUGUCUGAUUGAUCAGUUAAUUCAGGAGUAGCCUUAUGUAAAUGUAGAGAUAAAUAGAUCGACCCGACAACCUGGGUAGCUCUAAUGUGGUCUCUCUCAUAACUGAUUGUUCAUAAAUAGCUGAACUGCCAAUUUAAUGAGCCUGGACUUGGUUCACGUAAGUUCGUGGGUUCUCUUCCCAGGUUGAUCUGUCACCUUGUGACUAUUUCUGACCUUUCAUUAAGGUUAUUAAUUCAUUGAUGUAUUCGCUAGGGUUAUUUUCUCUAUUUUACUAUUUGUUACUCUUUUGGUCAGCCUCCGUAGCUAUAUGUUCCAUUAGAACUAUUAGUUUUUGAGAUUUUUUUAGUUUAGGCCAAGUCAAAAGGAGAAAGUUGAAAUGAUAUUUUAAAGAGAUAAAUAUCUUUUUAUUUUCUAAAUUAACUCAUUUUUGUUUAAUAUAUUAUUAUUCUAGCCAAGAAAUGUGAUAAUCCCUUUAGCUAGAACUCGAUUUAUUCUUUUGGUUUUGUCAGUUCUAUUUAUAAUUACGUUUUUCUUGAGCUUGUAAUUUUUUCGAAGGCUUUAAAUUUGUAUUUCUAAUUUUUUUUGUCUUGUUCUAUUAAUUAUUAUUUAGUUUAAUGAUUUUUCCUAAUUAAUUCAUUAGAUUUGUUUCAAAAUUAUAUAUUUAUUCAUGUUUGAUUUAUGAUAAAAAAAAUCUAUACUUAUAGAAGAUAAACAUACUUCAAUUUAUUUGUUCAAAAUUGUGUCUUAUUAUUUCAAACGAGUCUUAAGCGAUAAGAGUUGUUCAGAUAAGUUAGAAUUGUGUCUAUCAUUAGAAUUAUGUCUAUCAUUACACGAUUCCUCAAUCUUGAACUUGUUGAAUAGGUUGAAAUCUUAUAUUUAUUAUACAACUCCUUAAUCUUAAAUGAUAAAACUUGUUCAAGAUAGAUCGAAAUUUUACUUAUGAGUAGAGCGUUUCUCAAUAUUAAGUGAUAAAACUUAUUUAUGGUAGGUUGAAAUCCUACUUAUUACUACACAACCCCUCAAUCUUUAACAAAAACACUUAUUUAGGGUAUUAUAUCAAAAUCAUACAUAUCGCUAUGUAGUCUAUCCGUCAUAAGCAAUAAGACGUAAGGUUAGAAUUUUACAUAUCAAUAAAUAACUCCUUCCUUAGUUUUGAGUGAUCACACUUCUUUAGAGUAAAACAAAAUCCUAUCUAUCACUGUUUUCCUGUCUUUUUUUUUUCUUCUUACAAACAGAUUUUACUUGUUUUACAUAAUCAGUAUACUUCAUUAUAAAAUAAAAAUAAUCCAAUCUAAGCAAUCUUUUAUUGAAUUAUUAUAUGCAUUAUGUUAAAUGACAAAAGAGGAUUAAUAUUGUAAAAAGAUAAUUAAUCCUAUAACAAUUUUUGACAAGACUUUUUUCUUAUAUUUUUCCUCACGUCCUUUAAAAUGAAAUUCUAUCACAUCAUUACCUAUCUUAUUUAACAUUUCUUUUUGUAUCCUACCGUGUAACAUUUGUUGUAUAAAUUUAUUGCGUGAUAGAAUUAUUCCAAAUAUUAUUUAGCGCAUGACAUUAAAACAUUUUGAUCCAAGAAAAAACAUUAUUUUUUUUAGUUAAUUCCUUCACUAAAAUAUUCCUUCCAAUUUUGAAACCUUGACAAUCAUCUCGCUGUUUCUUCCUGCAUCUUCAUAGGUUAUUCUGUCACCCCAUAUAAAACGUGAAAAAAACUUUUUAUCCUUCUUGUGUCACUUCCAUAGAGUAGCUUAUGGAUUAUGUAAUCCGGACACGUAUUUGAAAAAAGACUUUUGGAUUACAUAAUCUAGAAAUUAAUCAUGCAUCUGAAUAAAGACUUUCGGAUUAUGUAAUCCGAAAUAUUACAGAAAGAUAUUUUUGGAAAUACAAAAAUUUAUGGAGGUAUGUGAAGAAUAUAUGGAUGUGCAGGAAGAAACAGUCCAAUCAUUCGUGAUGACAUUCCCAUAUUCCACAAGCCCACAAUCAAGCCCACCCUCAAAACACCUUGCAAGACAUCUUGCUUCACUCCCUCUUCAUGUUUUUCUUACUGGAUGGAUAUGGUAGAUUUUAAAAUUGAAUUAAAUUAACUUAUUGAAUAAAAAAGUAUAAUAUGUUUUAAUUCCUCUAAAAUAUUAGUUCAGUUUUAAUCUCUAAAAAUAAGAAUUAUAAGGAAAUUUUUUUAUAAUCACAAAAUUUUAAUAAAUGUUUUGGUUAAAGAAAACUCCCAAAAAUAAGGGGGUAUCACUAAAAAAAUGGAAAAUUUACCAUUCUAAUAUAACUUCUUCAAAUGAUUAUUGGCAUUCAUAAAUUAUUACAAAAAAAUUGAAAAACUAGAUAAAUCGUCCUUAUAAACAUGACUUAUUCUCGAAGAAGUCAUGUUCCAUAGAAAUAAUUUUAAUUUUAUAUUUGUGUCUUGUAUGCAUGGCUUCGUUUUAUAUGAUUUUUGUUAUACUAUAGUUUGUAUUUAGUAAAUACGACCUCAGUAUGAAAAUACAAAUAAAAUUAGAAGUGUUAUUUAUCAAGAAUGACUUCAAUAAAAUAAAAAUGUAUUUUGUGUGCAAGACUUCAAUAAAAAAAAAUAUAAGUAUUGUUUAUCAAACAGGGUUUUAAUAAAGGAAAUAUACGAAACAAAAUUAUAUAUGUCAAAUAUGACUGUUAAAGUGAAAAGUUAAAGUUCUCCUUCAUAAACACGAUUUACGUAAUUUUAUAAUCUUUUUAUAAUGUAUUUAUUUUGGUAAUAUUUAAGAAAUUAUGUUAGAAAAAUAAAUUUUCCAAAAAAAAAGUUACAUUGGCUGUUUUUUAGACUUUUUAAAAUUGAUUCCAACAAAAUUAAUAAAGAAUAGAGUGAGUACAACUUGCAAAAUUGCAUUAAAACUAGUUUUAAUUAACUAAACACGAUAACUAAUGUAAACGCAAGAAACCUAUUCAGCAUAAGAUUGUUAUUGAUUAAAAUGAUAGAGAAGUUCACAUCAUUAUUUUUUUAAAAAUGUUUUGUUGGUGCAAUACAAAACUAUUCGACACCACAUCUCAAGCUUCUUAUUUUUGCUACUAGGCUUGAAAUUUAGUUUAUAAAAUUGUUAUGGAGUUUGGUUAUCACCUAAAUUAGUUGUUACAUCAAAAUUAACCAUAUAAUACGCAUUUCACUUUAAAUUCAUUUUAAAAUUAGUAAGAUUUUAUAAGAAUCUUACUUUAAUUAAAUUUUUAUUUAAUUUAUGGUAGACAAAAAUACCCUUAAAUAAGAAUAUUUUUUACUUUUAUAAUACAUAUUUUAAACUUAAUUAAAUUUUAAAUCUCUCAUAAAUUUAUAUAUUUAUAAUUAAAUUUGUAUUAAAAAAGUUAUAUUCUAUGUUCAAAGUAUUGAGAUGACAUGCUUCAAUUUCUUCUAACUCAAGGAUCAACUCUCCUAAAUAAAAUAAAAAACAAAUUAAAAUCAAGCAACAUUUUAAUAAAGAAUACUUACUUAAAUAAAAAAAUAUAUAUAUCUCUACAAAACUUUCAACGUAAAUCCAAGUCAAAAUAUUUAAAUUUAUAAAAUAGUUAAAACUCAAUUCAAUAAAUAUAUUAAAAUAUCUCAUAAUAUUUCUACGUUAAACUUAUAAUAGUAGAUAUUGAACUUAUAAUAUAUUCCUAUAGUAAACUUAGUCAACAGGAGUAUAUUAAUUUAUUAAUUUUGAAAAACAUAGUGUAAGAAAGCAAUAAAAGAAAGAAAAAAGAAAGUUGAUGGGUUAAAUAUGGUGUGAGGUAGCAGAGUAAGAAAAGGUGUGUUUGGAUGUGAAGACAAGAAAAUCGGAAAUAUGAAUGGACGGCAUCACCAUUUGGAGACAGAACUCACAAAACGUGUUUUUCACGUCCAAACAAAGUAAGGAAGAAGUGCGUUUUGUGGUUCAUUAGUGGUCACCAUACAAGCCACAUGUAAUGUAAAGGAAAUGAGUAAAUGCCAACCUUAGACCUAGUGAGAUUCAAUAUAUUAUUUUUUUAUUAUAGUUAUUUUAUUAUUUUUCAAUGUGUUUAAUAUAGUUUUAUAUUAUUUAUGAUUUAUAAUGAGAAUUUAUAUACAUUCUUUUUUUUAAUUUACUGAAAUAUCUUUUAAAAAUAAAAUUUUAAAUCUAAAAACAAACAUUAUACCAAACAUGAUAAUGGACUCUAAUAAUACUAUUUCAAUAAAUUUAAAAAGUUAUUCAUAUUCAAUUACUCAUGAAAUUUAGUAACUAUUUUACAUAAGUAUUCAAUAUCACGAUCGUAAAGAUAAUUAAAAUUCAUAAUGCUUGCUUUUUAUUAUGUUUCCACACAUGAUCAAAGUGCUAAUAUAUAAAAAAAAAACUGAAAAAACUAUAUUAGGUAAGAGAUAAAAUAAUUUAAUUAAUAUGCAUAGUGACAAUUUAUCUUCAAAAGUUAAAAGCAAGAUCCCACGACAUUGAAGAUAUGAGAAAAAAAAUACUUAAUAAAAAUGAAAAAAAAAAUACACUAAAGAAUUUUAAUGAUAAUAAAAACAUACUUCUUUUUCAUGAAAGAGAAUUUAAGUAAAAUAGAAUAUAGAAAACAGAACUCAUUUACUUGAUAAUUAUUCUAAUUUUUAUUGUUUUAUUACUGUAUUGUUCCUGACUUAUAAUUAUAUAUAUAUAUAUAUAUAUAUAUAUAUAUAUAUAUAUAUAUAUAUCUCAAAAGAAACCGACAAGAUCUGUGUAACUCCAAAAGAAGACACUUGGAUUUAUAAGAAGAUAUAACUUAAUUAGAACAUUCUUGUUUUUUUUAUUGAAAAAAAUAAUAUUAAAUAUAUUGCUAUUGAAAUUAUUGAAGUUGAAUACUCCAUAAGUUUCUAUACAUACGAAUUUUUAAUUUGAACUUAAAAAUAGAAUAAAUAUUUAAUAAAUUAAGAAAUAUGGGUUAAAUUUACUUGAGGAACACGUAUUAAAGUUACCUUGACCUUUUAAAUAUAUUAUAAAAUUGGAAUUUUACCAUAAUUUUUUAUUAGUCUCACUCUUAUUUUAAAAAUAUGAUGCAAAGGUGAGAAAUUCCAUUGCGUCUUCAAUUAAUGAUUAACGAAUCCGCGUUUUUGUGUGUUUUGUUGUGUUUGACGUGAAAAUAAAGAAAGAAAACGUAAGAAUAAAAAAUGCGCAUUGAAACGCACAAAAGAUACCCUUCACUGUCUUUGUUCCGAUGUAUAUAUUCAGUGAUCCUUGGAAAUGUAAUUAUUUGACAAGAAAUAUUUUAUGGGAAAAAGUGUUCUUUAAUUAUAGAAUAUUAUUUAUUUUAUCGUUUAAAGAUUCAUUAUUUUAACACAUUUCAACAUAAAAAAGUAAAAUGUCAGUUAUGAAAAAUAUAAAUAGUAUAAAAUCAAACAGUUAUAGGAAAAAUAUAUUUCAUUAAAUUAAAAAAUUGAAUAAUAUAUGUAAAAUAAAAUAAAAAUAAUAUAGUUCAGUAGCCUGUCAUAACAUACUGAUACGAUUAAAUUUAUUAUAUUAAAUAAAAUAUUAAUAAAAUUAAUCAAUGAUUAAAUACUAUGUAAUAUACUCACAAUUUAAAAUCUUAAUUUGACCCAAUAAUAAAUUAUUCAUGAUAAUUAUAUAAAUAGACAUAAAUUUUGAUAAUAAAAUACGUUAUUAUUUCAAACUCAUAAGUCAAAUAUCAAAAUUUCACUUCAAUAUCAAAGUAUUUUUUAGAUAUUAUUGAGUUUGAAAUUACUAAAAACAAAAACAAGAAACUAAGAAAAUGAAAAAAGAGCGCAAAAACAGUUUAAAAAAAAAUAGACAGAAAAAAACAAUAAUUCUCUUAAUUAUAACCUCUUGAAAAACACUUAUUUAAAUUUACUUUUUUAUUUGCUUUUAACAUUUUAGCAUUGAAAUAAUAGUCUAAAAGAUAUAUUAAUUUUUUUAUUGAUAGAGAAAGUAAAACGCCGCCUGAAGCAGUUAGAGAGCGAGAAGAUUGGAAGAACGUGGACGACGUUGGUGGCAGUUGGAGGGUAGGUGUCUGCUCUGGAUCACAUUAUUCUUUUCUGCUAAAUUUAAUGUUUUUUCUUUCUUUUUUUUUCCAUCAAAGAAAACUCUUAUGUGAAGGAAGAAAUAGAAUUUUAUUAAAACAAAAUAGGAUAUAUAUUAUUCCUAUUAGUUUUUAUACGUAUUCUAUGGUUGUUUUUCUGUAGAAUAAGAUACACUAAAUUUUCUUAAUUCUAAUAAAAUAUUUGUGUUCUUUUUUAUUUUAUACUUCUUCCUUUCCAUGUACCACAAUAAAUAUACAUGUCUAAAUUAUUAAAGAUUAGAAGAUACAUAACUACAUCUCCUGGAAGAUUUAGUUUAUUUAUUUUAAAGAUAGAUCAUAAAGUAAUUAGAAAAAAAAAUACUAUAUAGAUUUUAAAUCAUUCAUUUUUUUAUUUCAAUUUAAAAUUUUACAUCUUUAAAUUUAUAUUUUUUUUUAAUCAAUCUUUCUUUUCAAACAUAUUACAUUACUAAGAAGAUAACACUAUUAAGAAGACAAUAGUGCAUAAAAAAAGAAAACAUCAUAAUCAUAUUAUGAACAGAAAAGGAUUACUUUGACCUGUGUUACACAAAGAGAGUUUGAGUACUAAUGUUAAUAAUUUUUAUUAUUUUAAUACAACUUAUUAAUUUUAGUAAUUUUUUAGAAUUUUUUAUUUUAAUAAUUAUCUUGUAUUGAAUGGUUAAAACUCCACUAAGUACAAGUUACUGUUUUUAUUUUCCAAUUCGUAGUAUUUUUGUAGUUCUUUAUUAUUGACAUGUAAAACCAAACUUUAGAUUGAUGCUUACCUAAUACACAGAAAGGUAAACGAAUGAAACCACAAACUUUGGCAUUUGGCAAACUUAGGACCAUUUGCAUUCAAUGCAUUGGAAGUAAAUAAAUGAACAGAGUCAACGUAUGUUCAUGUUUAACAUGGACAAAUAUAAUAUGUAAAAAAAAAAUAAAAAAAUGGAUACGUAAUUGAAGAGAUAAGUAAGUAAUCAGAAUGUGUAAAACGCUUAAUCUCAUUCUUAUCUUCAAACCAUACUUUAUAUACUUUAUACACCAAACAUCCUCAUUCAAAUCAUUGCAUAUUUUAUUUCUGUCAUUUUUUUACUCAAAAUCAUUCUCUUAUUAUACUAAAUAAAACAAAACAAAAAAGAGGUGAUACAUGCACUUUCGCAAUAACAUUUCUGUGUACAGAUACUGUGUCCGUGUUUGCUUCCGCGUUUUCUUCCAUCUUUCACGUCAAAAUUCAUGUUUCGUAAUUUUAGCAGCAAAUAAAACCAAUCAGGUUUUAAUUCUUCAAGUGGUCACUGACUCAACUAACAUAUUUAUUAAUUAUAAAAUAUUACAGUAUAAAUAUAAAAACAUAACAAAAAAAGUAUAUUAAUUAUUGGGCACCUUGAUCAUGGAUCAGUGUUGAGUUCCACUAACAACGAGAAAGAGAAUUCAACUGAAAUAAACACUGAAACCGACAGUGCCACCAAUACAUGCUGCACUGGCCACGCGAAUAUGUGGUUUCAUGAUGGCAAAAUUCUCACACUUUUCUCUCAUUCAUCAUAAAUUAUAAAUUAUUCUUUACAGAUAAGUGACAGAGGCAGAGAGAAAAUUGGAUUUUGAUUAUUUUGAGAAAUAUAAAAACUGUUGAAUGGAAUAAAUAAAUUGAAUUGAAUUGUGAAUCUGGAACAUUGAAAGUACAAGGUAAACAGGAGAACUGGAUCCAACAAAACUCCAAGCACUAUGUACAAAAUCAAGUUAAUAGCACUCAAAAUUCUCCCAAUAAUUGAAAAAUCAAGCUAAACAAGAAUCAAAGAGUUCAGAGAAAAUGAGGAAUUUCGAUCUUGGGAACCACGAAGAGACGCGGUUUCUUCAUCACGGGGUGAGGGCUCUCAACCUCGUCUUCUCCCGGCUUCGUUGUUAAAUCGGGAAAAGCAGGGAUAUUCAGAUCAAAAUCACGGUGGUGGCUGUGAGUGGACCCCACACCUUCCGAGGCGGUUACAACACUCGUGCUGUUUCCGUUGUUGUUGUUAUUAUUGUUGUUACCUUCGUAGUGACAACGUUUGUGUCCGCCGAGGGCCUGUCCUGUGGGGAAGGACUUGUGACAGAUGGAGCACUCGUGGGCCCUGCCGGAGGCGGUGGCGAUGCUGGUAGAAGUGGCGGCGGAGGAGGUGGGGUGGUCGUCGGCGAGCGCGAGUUUCCGGUGGCUGGCCUUGUGUCCGCCGAGAGCCUGGUAGGAGGGGAAGGUUUUGUGGCAGACGGAGCAUUUGUAGGUGAGCUUGGAGGAAGGAUCUGGGGUUGGGGUGGUGGUGGUGGUGGUGCCGCGGGCGAGCAUGAUGAGGCAGAGAGCGAGGUACUCUUCUUCGGAAGGGUGGUCGCGGGAACGCUUGGAACGCUUGCGUUUUGCCCAUGGAAUGGUUGGGUGGUCAAAGGGGAAAGAUGGAACAGUUGUUGUGGGGGAGUUGAGAGCUUCCAAAGCCAUGAAGAGAAAGUUGAUGAUGAUGAAGAGUUUUGGUUUGGUUUGAAUGAGUUAGGAGUGAGAGUGGGUGAAGAGGCUUUAUAAGGAGGUGAGGGAAGUUGCGUGACAAGUGGUGUGCAAGUAAGAUUGAGAAAUAAAUAAAGAAAAAAAAGAAUGAAUGAGGAAAAAGAGAUAGAAGUGUAGUGGAGCAGAUUUUGAGGGGAAUUUGUUGGUGGAGAAGAGUGAGUUGGGUCAAAGAAGUGUGAGUGUGGGAGUGAAGUCUAAGAAGGAAUAGCAGCCUCCACACGUCAAGGAUACUCAAAAGGACUUUUCUUUCUCAACAUCUUUUCAGCCGACCCUUUACACCUCUAUUCUCUUCCAAUUUGGAAGCUCGCCCUUCAUUCCUUGCUUCUUCCUUCUUUCCUCUCUUUUCAUUACUUUAAUAUAUUAUGGGUGAUUCGAUAACGCUUGAUAGCGAGUUGUCUGAUAAGUUCAACAAACACUUGUUAUGAUAAUAUCAUAUUAUAAAGUGAACUGUAGGUUUAACUCAAUCCCAUAAAACCAAUAUUGUGGUGAGAUUUGUACUUACUUAUAUACAAUAAAAUGUCUUAAUCUCUAGUUGAUGCGAGACCUCCAACCAUGUUAAAAAAAAAUCCUAUAUGUUAUAGAAGAAAGAUGAUAUAAUAAAAUCUUAUUAGACAAAAAUAUUUACAAUAUUAGAUAUGAUUCCGACUACAGAGUAUUUAAAUAUUCAUUAUUAUCGAUCAUUAUUUGUUUGAUAUAUUUAUGAAGAUAAAGAUAAUUAAUAUUUUAUCUAGAUUUUAGAUGGUAGAUAAUUUUUCAAUCUUAAUCUGAAAAUGAAUAAGACUAGGACGUAUCUGGAAAUGAAUAAUACUUACAGUUAUAACAUGAAAAAUGGUUAAAUAUGAGAUGUUUGGUGUGGUUUGGAUAAGGCAUUAAAAAGGCGGCACCGCAGAGGGUAUCAUUUUACUAUGUUCUUAGAGAGCGAUAGCAGGAAGAAGAAUCAAGAUCACAUGAGAGAGUUUUUUCAAGGAGAAAUAUUAUUACCCAAGUUUUUUUUCACUAUUUAGUAUUAACUGUGUAAUAUAAUAUAUAUAUAUAUAUACAUUUUGCACAGUAUAAAAUGAUACCAAUGAUUUAUAAGCAUAUUCAUUUAAAAUAUUAAGACAAUAAUUUAUUUUAAGUAAAAGGUAUCAUGAUUAGGUAUCACUAUUAAAAAUUGAAAGAUUUGUGUGUCAUUCUUGGACAAAAGUGAGGCUAAUCUUCUCUAUAUCGUUCCAGAUUUAUUAUUAGAAUGAAUAAAUAUAAAAAAAAUAUGGGAUUAAUUUAAAAAUAAUUAAUGUAUCUGACAAUGUGCAUAGUUUCUUCUGAGACAGAAAAAGGUGGGCCCAAGAACAAGAAGUACCAAUUUAAGAUUUCUUGUUGUUUUAGAUUUUAGUGUUUAGAAAGUAAAAACUAUAAAGAGAACUUUAUCAAUUAGAAAGCUACCAGAAGCAUCUAGUGAUGUUAACUCACUCCUCUUCCUUCUUCUUUCUUCCUUCCUCCACCAAUCAUAAAUCCUUUUUUUUUCAUGUGCCAAUCACUUUAGAGUGAAAUAUCACUCAAUUUUCUUACUCUAAUAUUUAGUUUAAAAUAGAUAAAUAACAUUUAUAUCAUAACACCAAUCAUUCAAUUUUUUUAAGAAAUAGUUAAUUAAUUGAUGUAAUAGUAAUGUUUAAUUUUGAAGAGAUCAAAAACUUUUUAACUACUAGUUAGAAUGUGUGAUCGUGAAGAGGUAAUUACAAUAUAUACUAAAAAAAAGAAAAAAAAAAGAAUGUUAAAGAAAGUUGUUUUAAAAAAUCAUUUUUUAUUAAGAAAGUAAUCCAAUUAUAUACGAUUAAUUUUAAUUCUUAGUAUAUAUUUCUUUAUACAUAAAGUGAUGUAAAUAUACACACAAAAGAAUAAAAAUUUCUUUUUUCUUCUUUUUCAUCUUCUUACGUACAAUUUUCUUAUAUUUUUCACCCUAAACAUAUUUGAUUUAAUGUAUAGAUAUUUGUGUUUUUAUCAUAAUAUAAUUGUGUGAUUGCUCUUUAUCUCAAGAUCAAUAUCUUUCUUCCAGAAACAUAGUCAUUGCUUACAUAAAACAGGGAUUGAGAUUAAGAAUAGUAGUCAAACUUCCUCAAAUAAUCUAUUACCCAUUAUAUGUGUGUAAAUUGUAUAUAAAAUAGCAAGGACUCAAUCAACCACAUGUAGUUAAAGAAAAACAUGUGUUUCUCUUUGCAAAGUUUUCAUCAUGAUAAUGAACUAUACAAUUUAGUUAUGAGUUUUAAAAAGGCAAAACACAUUUAAAAAUAUGAUACUUGAAACCUACCUCUUUGUCCAAUUCAAAUACAUAAACUAUAAUAAACCAUGUGUUUUCUUUGUUUUUAUCUCUAUGGCAAAAAAUACAAACACAAAAAGGAGGUGACCUCAUAUAUUCACUAGUCACACAAAUUCUUCACUAAUUAGUUUUCUUUGUUGUUUAGUGGCAAUAUGCAAUUGGAAAAUGCAACUAGGGUAAAGGGUUGAGAAAGAUGGUUAGAUUUGGAUAAAGAUGAGUUUUGUGAAAGAUGAGUCACAUGUUAAAUGGACAUGAAGCCCACAUGAGUGUGACAUUAGGUCAUUGUCAUCUUGGCCCAAGUAAUAUGGGCCGAGAGAAUCUUUUCAUACCAAGCUGGCUUUCUUUUUCAAAAGGUAUCAUUUUUAUUUUCUUCUACUUUUGUCACAUGAAAAUUGAGGUAAUGCAUACCAUGAAGUACAAAAUCUCACUUUCCACUUGGAUACAUAAACAAAAACACUUAAAAAAAAAUAAUUGAAAAAAAUAAUAAUUUAAGAAAUCAAAAUAAUUAUUUAAUAUAUUAAUUAAAUUAGAGACUAUUUUAUAAACUAAAAAAAUUAUUAGUAUCUAAAGUAAUUUUUAUUAUUAAUAAAAAUUUAUAAAAUAGUUUUUAAAUUGACAUCUAACUAUUAGCUACUAAAGUUUUAUCUACUAAUAUUCUAAAUUAGUCACUAUUGACCUUUUAGAUACUAAUUUAAAAUCUAAAAUAUUAGUAGCUAAAACUUUAUAACUAAUUUAGAUACCAAUUUAGAAAAUAUUUUAUAAAUUUGUAUUAAUAAUAGAAAGUAAUUUAAAUAACAAUAAUUUUGUAGUCUCUAAAAUAGUAUAUAAUUUAGUUAAUAUAGUGAUUAAUUAUUUUUUAUUUUUAAAUUAAUUUGUUAUUUAAUGAUUUUUUUAUAGUAAAAUAUCUAUAUUUUGUUAUUGUUUUAAUAAAUAUUCUCUUGUGGAAAUAAUAUUUGAGAGUAAUCUUUAGUUUUAAUAUUUAUUUCUUGUAAAGUGAUUCUGAUUCACAAUUUUUAAAGAAAUAUCACUUUUCAUUUUUAAUUCACAUCAAAUUUGUAAUUGUAACUGAUACAUAAUGUAUUUAUUGAGUAAUAUAGUUAGGAAUUUUUUUUUAAAAUGUUGACAUCUUCUGAAUACAGAUUCCAACAUUAUCUAGAGAUUUUAUUAUUAUUAUCAUUUGUUAUUAAGUUAUUUACAUGAAAUAUUUAUAUGGGACAAUUCAUCUUGUAAACCUAACCAUGCAUCUUAGUCUAUUUCUCCCACUCUUAUUUCUUUCGUUCAUAAAAUUUAAAUUUUACUUAAAGUAUUGAGUUUAAUAUUAUUUAAAUUUUUUUCAACCAUAUAAAACAAGCUUAUAAGACAUAUAUUUUAAUUUGAUUAUAUUUAUAUUUGAUGAAAAAUAAUAAAUAAAUAUGAAACAUUUUAGGGAUGUUCCAAUCUUAAAUUUUAAUCUAAAGCAUUAAUAAUAUAUAAAGUGACUUAAUUAAAAGGUUGUGAUUGGAAUAUUCCCUUAUCUUUACAGCAGAUGCCUCAUUUUUUUAAUCAUAUCAUGAUUAGAGAGGAACAUGAUAUUUCUAAUUGGAUUCUAAAUGAGUCUGGUCAUUUCACUCUUAAAUCGGCUAAGACUUUUUUCUUGGAACCAAGAGUUCCAGGUGGUUGGGGUAAAUUCAUUUGGUCUUCAUCUAUUCCGCCUUCCAAAACUCUAGUACUCUGGAAAAAAAUUCAUGGGCGACUUCCUACAUAUCAACAUAUUCAGAAUAAGGGUUUGCAUAUAUGUUUUAUGUGUUCGCUUUGUGAAAAGCAAGAGGAAUCUAUUCAACAUCUAUUUUUUGAAUAUUCUAAUGCAUUGCAUAUUUGGAGUUGGGUUUGACAAAUUUUUCUUACUUCUCAUUUCUCUAAUAAGGAUGAUCUACUUUCUUUUAUUAAAAGUGAUGGUAGUCCUUUAGUUAAAUUGAUUAAGCUUGCGGUGAUAACCUUUUCUAUAUGGAUGAUAUGGCGUAUGAGGAAUUAUGCUAGAUUUCAGGAUAAGAUUGAGGUUUCUAAGGCUAUUUCGAUAAUUAAAGAUUUAACUUGUCUAGUGGGAAAUUCGUCUAAAGCUUCAAUGAACAAUGAUAUGUUGGACUUCAACGUGAUUAAGUUUUUUGAUAUUAAGACUCGUAGUGGUAAAGUUCUUCGUCCUCUUCCUAUUAGAUAGGAAUUUCCUUCCCCAGGCUGGGUCAAAAUUAAUACUGAUGGGGCUGCUAGGGGGUAUCCUGGUCUUGCUACUUGUGGAGGUAUUUUUCGUGGAAGUAUGGGAGAAUUUAUUGGUGCUUUUUCAGCGUUUCUUGAAGUUCAAACUGCUUUGGUUGCUGAGUUUUAUGGAGUUAUACAUGUUAUGGAGGAAGCUCAAAAAAUGGGGCUUACUAAUGUCUGGCUUGAAUGUGAUUCUGCCUUGGUUUGUGCUGCGUUUACUGCUAGGACUAAUGUUCCGUUGAUGCUUCAGAAUCGAUGGAAUACUUGUCUUAAUUUUUGUGGGACAAUCAGGUUUAGGGUAACUCAUAUUUUUCGUGAAGGGAAUGUGUGUGCUGAUAAGUUGACUAAUUUAGGAUUUAUUCAUAGAGAAUCAUUUCAUUGGUAUAAUAGACUCCCAGCUAAUCUGUUCUUAGAAUUCUUUAUGAAUAGGUAUAAUCUACCUAUGUAUCGUUUGUGUUAACAUAUGGGUUUUGGUCUAAUCCCCCCAUAUUUUUGUAUUUUCUUUCUUUUUUCUUUUUUUUAAUAAUAUUUUUUUUUCAUGUGAUGGCAGAUGAUUGUUGUUACUUGAGGUGUCAGCUUAGCUGAGAUGUCAAGUUGCAUAGUGAUGCCUAACACGAAAACUUUAUAAAAAAAAAAUAUCCUUCCAUUUAUAGAAUUUUUUUUUAGUUUCUAUUAAAAAGUUUCAUUUUAUUAGAUAUGUAUAUUUUUCAAUUAAGUACUUGUCAUUUGGUUUUGUUGUAAGUGUGUUGACAUAACCAUUGCUUUUGCAUGGUCAUUGAUUUUGCUGUCUUAAUUUGGUAUUUUUUUAAUUAAAUCAUCCUAAUUUUAAAAAAUAAAUAAUAUUUCGUAGCAGUCUAAUGAACAAAAUAUAAUGGCUAGAUAAACUUAAAUAUUAAAAGUAUGAUGUUAUAGAAAAAUAUAAUACUUAACAUUAUAUUAUAUUAACUAAGUUUUUAAAAUUUACCGAUUUUCAACAAAUUGUGUUAGAUUACAGUUUUAAAUUUAAAAAAUACCAAUAUUAAAAAAAUAAAUCAUCAACUCUAUAAAAUUAUUUGUCUGUGCAUCAUGCAGAUAUACUUUAUAGUUUUUAUCAAAAUCACUCAACUUUUUAAACUUGGUGCUAAACUAAAUUGAUUAAAUAGUAUUACUCACAAAAUUUGAUGAAAUUUGUAGAUAGGUGGUGAAGUUAUACCUUGUCAAUUUUGGGUUUACUAGGUGGCUUUUGCUUCCUGCACCCUAUUAAUUAUUUUUGAAAUUUUAAAAUUGUUCUUCAUUUUGAAAUUGGAAAUCUAGAAUAGAUUUUUCGUAUUUUAGAAAUAAAAUUUUGAAACAAAAUUUGAAAACCAAAAUCUCAUUCUGAAAGGACAAAUCCUGAACACAGAUAAUACAUUUUUGCAAAAAAAAAAAUCCGAAAUACAAAUAAUAUAUUUUGAAAAAGAAAUUCCAAAAAACAAAAUAUGAAAACAUAUUCCGAAAAAGAGAUUAUAAUCCAAAAACAUAUUUUGAAAACACUAUUCCAAAAAAUUAUUCUAUUUUUUUUAAAAAUUAAAGACAUUUUUGUCAUUUCAGAUAGAAUGUAUAUUAAAAUUUAUUAGGUGGAGGAAGAAAAAACCUUACAAUGUUCUUUGAACCAAAGGCACCCGCCACAUUGGGGUGGCUUCCAAAUAGUUUAAUGAUUAUCACAAAAAGUCAGAAAUAGAUCCCACAUGAUUAAUGAGAAGUGUCAUUCUCUUUAAGAAUAAAACUACUAUUUUAUUCAUAUUAGUUAACAAUAACAAGUUAGAAUAACAAUCUUAUUCUACACAUUUUUUUUUCUAUGUAGUUGUUUUCCGUUUGUCGUUAAAACGGUAAACAUGUCCUCUAGUGUCUGAUCUCAGAGUGGUAGGGACUUCAUGUUAGAUUGAGUCCAAUGUCAAGCCCAUUAUAAGCAAGUGGAGCAUACAUCCAUAGAUCAUCUGAGCUUAAAAGCUACACAUGACAAAAACAAGACAAAAACAUUGUUACAAUUUGAUUCUAUUUAGGUUAAUUCUUCCAAAUUUGGAACAUGAUUUUCAAUGUUAUGCUACUCAUAUACAUACCUUGAUUUGUAGCUGCAAAAAUUUCACAUAAUUGACUGCCUCUUCAAGCAUUGUACUUAUAUCAACCUACAGAAUACACAUCCAUCAAUGAAAUUAAUACACUUCCAUAGAUGAAUUUUAAAUAUUAAGUUUCUCUUAAACAGUGCCAUUUGAAUGAAAUAAUUAAUAAUGUAUAGUGAUUAUCAAUAAGAAUUCAGAAUAUUCAGUUCAUGUAUUUUUGUCAUAUCUGACCAAAACUACAGAAACCACAUCUAACUUCAUUGAAAACAAGAGUUAGAUCAACAUUAUUUACCUUGGUUCCAUUAGGGACAAGAUUCUGUAGGAUUCUUAAUCGUUCAUUUAUUCUCUCUCUUCUUUUCUGCAAGAUUCAAGUGAGAGUAAUGUAAGUGCCAUAAUAUCACACACAAACUUUAUGUACUGAGCUAUCACAGAAGGAAAAAAAUAAAAUGAAAUGAAAAGAGGUUUUGUAUUUGAAGUGACUAAUUAUAUAUACCCUUGCAUAUAGGCUCUGGGGAUCUGUUGCUGAUCCCCUACUUGCUCUUGUUUUUCCAUUUGAGUUGAGAACAGAUUUAGAUUCUGAAGUAGCUCCUCCAACAUUUUCCUUGUUAUCAUCCUCUGACAUGUUACUACUUGAGCUUUGUCCAUCUGAUCCUGCAUUAGUCUCUUCUGCAUCUUCCCUAUUGCUGUCAUUUUUCUGAUUCUUCUUGGACCAUUUGUUCUUCAUACAUCCUUGCACCUGAUAGUGAAACACAGAAGAUUGUUAUUAAUUCCCACCUUCAAUGUAGACCAAAUAUUAAGUUUUGAUCAGUUUUAGCCUAAAAUUAUAUAAGCAUGACUCUGAUCAUUGAUAUCUAUAUGCACUAAGUGUAAGAACAUUUUACACGAUUAAUCAAUCAGACAUUGUUGUUAGUAUGAGAUAUUAGAGACAAAACUUACAUCUUUUGAAACACGAGGUUUUUUCUUGUGAUUCUCUGAUCUGUUGUUGAUUUUACCAUCAGCAGGCACAUCAUUCUUCCUCUUGGUGGGAAAAACAAUAGGUUCCAUUUGAUUGCACUCAGAAUUCUCCAAUCCGUCACUUGCCAAAUCUUCAUACAGCUUCACACUCUCUUCAGUUGCAAUGUUAGCAAGCGAUGGAGCAAAAGGGGCAAAAUGUUUCUCAUCCAAGGAAUAUACACAUGCAUUAUUUGGUGACAUAUGAUCAGGGUAACUAAAAUAAUAGUUUGAGCUACCCGGAUUGGCAAUGAAGACAGUGUCAUCACCACUACAAUUGCUACUAUUACUAUAGCUACUUUCCUGAGAAAUAUACUGUGAAGAAUUUGAGUUAUGAGCAUCUAAAGAAUAAAACAUCAGCUCAUUUUCACCAGCUUCAGGAGCACCACAAAAAUUGGCUUGCUCUGUCACAAUGUUCAGUUCAUCGCCUCCACCAAGCAGAAGAGGAAACUCCGAUGUGAAAUGAUCCUCACUGGCAAACAUUCCACGAAAGCAAUCCCAUUCUCCAUCAGGGAAGGCACCAACAGGUUCCAUUCUACUCUGUGUUGAGGGGAAAAAACGAAAGAACAGAAAAGGGCAAAAGGGUUGGUUUUUUUUCUUGUGUGGUCUAAUGCCACUGCAAAGAGAAUUGAAGCUGAUGAAAUGUUUGGUUGGCAUAAGCAAAAACUAUAGACAUAUUUAUAGUGAAUCCUUAGAAAAGUGUUAGUGUAAGCAUUGACUUCAUUCGCAAAUAACAUUUUAAAUUUGUAAUCAUUGUGUGAUGGAUAGGUCCUAAUUCUCUGUAACUGAACUCAUGAGUCCACUGAGGGGCAAAGUACAACUCAUAUGGGACCAAGUUCAUGCGUGAUAAUUUAGAAUAAUGUUAAUUUUUCAAUGGGGUUAUAAACAGCUGAAUAAACCUGUGGUGAGAACAGCAAAGGGGUCUAAGUAAUGAUUGAGAGGUUACUAAUAGAGAUUAACAAGUAAUGGUGAUAGUGAUGUAGUUAGGAGUUGGAACUGGAGAACUUAGCAUGCGCGUUGUUGAGGUUGAACAACGAACGUGGGAGUUCCCAAUAUGAAUAUAAUAAACGCAGAGGAAUUCUCUGAGGGAAUAAAAAAUGGAAGGUCCAUGGACGGCUACAUCGUGGGAUGAUCUCACUUUCUUUAAACCACUUCAUGGACCGACACAUCAACCGUGGACAACGCUCUUUUGUCUCCUUGGUGUAACAAGCUCACCAUUGCUUCAUCAAUUCUAACAACCAAACAUCUAUUUUCUCUCUAUUCUCUUACUACACUUCACCUAGUAACUCAUGUUUUAUGUUUAGUGCAAAUUACUAACGUGAAAUAACCCAAGUUACCAACAUCUCACGUGGCUAUCAAAAGUACUGUCAUAUUCAAAACAAAACAACAACAUAUAACAUAAAAAGGAUAUCUCUAAUCAGAUAAACUAUAUAUCUUUCUUUCAUCAGAACCAAAUGUAUCUCAUUCUAAACACCUCUUAUCCAGCUAAGUCACAAAAUCAAAUUCAGAUUUAAGCAACAAUUUUACACCAGAUUUAUGUGAAGGUGACAACUAUUUCAUUUCAUCACUUUCCAAACCCUAACAAACAAUAGCAUAUGACCCAUUUCAACUCCUAUUAACCAUAAAAAACUUAUAUAUGUUAUGACACUAAACAUACUAAAAGUAUUGUCUCUCAUAAACCAUUCUAAAACAACACUGAACAUAAAGUAUUGUUGUCUUUUUUUUUAUCAGCAAAGAAGUAUUGUUGUCUAAUAAUAACAAGAUAGAGUUGUAGGUUUGUUUUGACGUUAAAGGUGUUCAAACAUUCACUAGAAUAUAUACCUAUUUGUUAAAACAGUGUGAGACUAUGUUUGUUUCUGAGUUUUAACAGCACUGAACAAGGAUUUUUCACUUCUAAGAAAAAUGAACACACACUAAUAAUAUGUAGAAAUCCGUUGAAGGAUUCCCGUAUCUUGUUUAGCAUAUGAUGACGAAGAAAUGGUUUUUUGUUUAGCCUUAUUCCAGACUUAGUAUCUCACAGAUCUGUUCUCCAGGCUGUAGGGCAUUCGCAUAUAUUGUCCAAGUUUUAUUCUAGGUAACAGGAUUAUAAUUUCUGCACCUCGUAUACAUAUAAUACUUCGACUAGAUUAUGAUUAGAUACUUGUAUUGGUUUUAAACAAAAACUUUAACAAUGCUUUGGAAAAAAAAUGGUUUUCCUUAAUAGGAAGGAUUUGCAAAAGUACAGCUUAAGAUACAUUUUUAAUGAAAGAUAAUGCAUUAGAUUUGUGGAUAUUUCUUUUUAUAUAUUAUUUUCCUCACUUAUUUCUAUUAAUUGUCGAACUUCUAACUUUACUUGGAUUUUCUGAUAAAAAAAAUUAUGUUAUGAUACAAUAGUAGAAAAACUAUAUGGAAAUUAAUAGUAUACGUAUAUCGGAUCAAUGCAAAUAUAGAAUUAGCAAGUUUAAACCCAUUGCCUUGUAUAUGUUUGUUUGAGAAAAAGAAGAAUUAAACUAUUUUAUGUAAGGUGUAGGAUGUUUUAAUCACUAAUAUUAAUGUUUAAAAUAGUUUAUAGGUAUUUCAAACUAAGCUUUUAAGUCUAACUUCACUUCAUCUAUUUAAUAGAAAAGUGCAAAGAAAUAUAUUAGGAUAGAAAACUUGCAGAGGUUAAUUAAUUUUAUAAAAAAAUUGAAAUAGUUUAUAAUAAAUAUAGUUUUUGGAUAAAGAAUUUUUUUAAAAAAACUAAUCUAUGCAAAUUAUUUUAUUACUUAAAAUUAAAUAAUUUUAUAUUCCAUAUAAAUGGUUAGGAUAUGAAAAUGUUCAUGUUCUCUCAUUUUAAAAAUUAAUAUUCUUUUCAUUUUUACUACCAAUAUAAUUAGUAGUGUUAUAUUUUAGUUGUUAGUUAGGUUUUUUAUUAUCAACAUUAAAAUAAAAUUCGAUUUUUUUUUUCAAUUAACAUCAACGUAUGUACUAUUAUGUUAGUCGUGAUUAUUUUUUACCAACGUUGAUAAUAUCAUUAGGGUUAUUUCUCAUGAAACUAUUUUUUCGUUAAUAUAAGUUAGUUUUUUUAAUUUACAAUUGUUUGAGUUAUUUUGUAGUUGAACUUGUUGCAAUUAUUUAUCUUCUAUAUAGGUUAAACUAUUUUUUGGUAGUGUAAGAGAUUCUUUAUUUUGAAGGUUGAAGUUGUAAUUUUUAUGUGACGGUAUAAUUAAAAUAUUCUAUCUAAAUAAGAAAAUUAAAAUUCAAUAAAGUUUGAUUUUUUUAUCCAAACAAAAUAUUUAAAUAAUAACAAUUUAAAUUUUAAUAUAUAUAUUUUCUUAAAAUUAUAAAAUUUUAAAUGAUACAACGUAAAGAUAAUAUAUUCCAUCUUUUUAAUAAAAAUAAUUAGAAGAACUUAUAAACAACGCGUAUCUUACUUGCCUACUGUUAGAUCACUGCAUACAAUCAAAUUCUCACUCCAAAUAUUUAACAUAAUUACAAGUGGACUCAUAUAUAAAUAAAAAAGAAUCAUGUUUUUUAGUGAAUUUGAAUACAAACAAAUUUCAACUCUCAAAAUUGGAUAUAAUUUUACCAUUUAAAAAAACAUCAUUAUUUUAAUUCUAGAAAUCAUUUUCAUUAGACAUAAACGAGAAUAAUUUAAAAAAUCUUAUUAGUUUGUAUGCAAUCAAUGAUACUAAAUGAACCUAAGUAUGUUUUUUAAGAACUAAAAAAUUAAUUAAUUUUAUUUAUAUACAAGUACAAAUAGAGUUACUGAACAUUCAACUUCAAUAUCAUUGUUAAGCUUGAAUAAUUUCAUAUAAAUUAAUCCAAAGGCUCGAUGAUAGAUAAUUUUCAGACUUUCUUAUAUUCUCUUUAAAAUAAGUUUUCUUUUUUUCAUUUUAAGUCAUUCUUGGUGUUGAUUAAUGAUAUAAUCAAAUUUAAAAGUGAGAAAACGGACUAGUUUUUUUUUUAUGAUAUAUAGACAUAUCAUGGUUAAAGAAUUUUCUAAUUAUAUUUUUCUAUUUUCAAUAGAAAUGGUCAUCUUAUUGCUUUAUCAUGGAAAAUAAUUUAUAUUACUUCUCUUUACUCUCCUCUCCUCGUAGUUUAAUAGUGAUUAAUUUGACACAUUAUAAACAUAUUAAAGAGCUUAAGAAAGAAUAAAGGAAAUCAAAUAUUCUUUUUUUUUAUCUUAUUACUCGAGUUAAAAUGUUUGCUAUGCAACUAGAAGAAGCUUAAGAAUAAUGAUUAUUUAUCUCAACAACACAAUAGAUACUAUAACAAAAAUUAUUAAAUAAAAAUCAAUUUUAAAAUAAAAAAUAAUUAAUUAUAUAUUGACUAAAUAAGAUAUUAUUUUAGAUAUUAAAAAAAAUAUUAGUAUCUUAAAUAAUUUUUAUUAUUAAUCAAAUUUAUAAACUAGUAUCUAAGUAGCUAUCUAGAUUUUAGCUAUCAAAUUCUAAAGUUGAUAACUAAUUAGAAACUGGUUUAUAAAUUUUAUUAAUAAUAGAAAGUGAUUUAUAAAUUUUAUUAACAAUAAAAACUACUUCAAUGUUGUUGUUUUUUUAAAGAAAUAAUUUUUAAAGUAAUAUAUAAUAUAAAUAUAGUAACUAAUUAUUAUUUUUUUCUAAAUUUGAUUUUUAUUUAAUAUGAUUUUUUUAUAAUGAGAGAUGCUAAAAUUAAGAGUUUAAUUUUUAUGUAGGGCCAAAAUAUAUUUUUACAUAAAUAAUCAAUUAAAAAUGAUUUUAAGUAAAACUAAAAUUAAUUAUUAUAAAAAACAACAAUUUUACUAUAAAUUAUAACUAUAACGAUAAUAUUUUGCACUAUUUUUUGUUCUUCUUUUUGUACUAAAGUUGUUUAUAUAAUGUCAUUACUAUGAAUCAAAUGAAAAACAUUAUGACUAAAAAAACUGUUGAAGCAUUAAAAGAGUAUUAAUGACAUGAAAAACAUGAAAUUAUUUUGAUGAGACACUUAUAAGUUAUAUGUUCCAACUCAUUGACAGCAACGAAGUACACGUUCAUACGGAAUUGACAUUGCUGUGAAUUUGUAUAUAUUACAAAGUCAAACUUGUUUAUGUAUAUGGCAAAAAAAUAUCUCUCUUUUAUUAAAUAAUCUUGUACCUACUUUUUUUGCAUUAAUAUAUUCAAAGAUAAGGAAGAAUAUAGAUUAAAUAUAUAUCACAUAGUCAUAAAACAAAUUAAAUUAAACCACAUUACAUGAUCAUGAAUAGUGAUGAGUCUGUCUAAAUUGAAUUUAGAAUAGAAUGAACUUCAAAUCAAUCCACUUUUAAAUUCAUUUUAUCUUCAAAUUUUUUAAAUAGUGUGAAGUAAAAAAUGAACUCAAUAAAAAAUAAGUUGUUCCAAGCAAUCGGGUAUCUCAAUAUAAAAAUACUUAAAAUUGUACUUUUACAAGAAAAUACUAUUCAAUACAAAAUUAUACAUAAUCAUCAUAUUAAAAAGCGUAAAUAUUAUAUUUUGUUAUAUUUUUAUUGUAUUGGGUAAGCUUAGUAUUUUUGUAUUUUUUGUCUUAUUGAGUUUAAAUAAAUUAAAUAAUAUAAAAAACUAUAAAAUAAAAUAUAUGAUUGUAUUAUUAAAUUUCAUGUAUAUAAUUAAUAAAAAAUAUUUUACUGUUUUUUUUUCAGAUUCAUUAAAUCUAUAAAUGUUAAACUGUUUUUUUCUAUCAUUAUAAUGAUUUUUUUUAAAUUUCACAUACUACUUGAAUGUUUUCGAUUUGGUAUAUUUUUUUUUAAACGAGUCAAUGUAAUAUAUUUCAUUAAAUUUAUGAUAAUUAUAUUAUGAUAUUUGUGUUUAUGACACUUGUAAAUUUUCUGAAAAAGUUAUUUUUGAUUGAUGAUUGAUAAUUAUCAUUUUCACAGUCAAGUUAAAAUUAUUAAAUUAGAUAUUAUUAUUAAAUUAGAGAUUAUCUAACACGGAAGAUGUGACAAUAUAAAUAAGAUCAAAUGGUUAUAAGUUUUCUCCUAACGAAUUCAAUAAUAACUCUAAUUAAUAAGUGUUCAAAACUUAUCUACAACUAAAAUGUUAGAAAUAACAACAAUGAAUCCUCCUCACUAAUUAUUUUAAGAUUUCCACUCUUUCAAUUUUUACACGGAUGUCAAACUUAAUCAAAAAAAUCAAAUUCAACAUAAUCUUAUCAGCAAAACAAACAUUUACUACUUAUUCAAUAUCUCACUUGUCUCAAAGUGUUUACUCGUCAGAUGUUUAUCUUUUAUUCCUUGAACUAAGUGAACAAGAUAUUGAUUAAAACUAAGGGAACUAACCACAAACUAUAAUUAAAGAAGAUAAUUGAAUUCUUAACUAGCGUUUAGAAAUAAUUCCUUAACAAAAAACAGAAUUAAAAAAGAUUAGACAUUUUGACCAAAAUUGCUACAAAGAAUUUUAAGAAUAAAACUUUAUUAAACAAAAAAAAAAAACCUCACAAUUCAUUACAAAAUCACAAGAGAAUCAACACAUAGGAGUUUAGUCUUCCAUGUAGAGACAAAACGAAAGAAUUACAAAGAAGAAAAUAAAGAAAAAUCUUAAUACUGUGUUUUUUGAAUGUAACUUUCAAGCUCAAUGGUUUUUCCUUGAAACUUGUAUCUUUUUAUUGGUUUUCUGCUUUAAGGAUCUCGAAAAAAUAUUUUGGUUUAUAUUUUGUUCACGGUUUUUUAAUUUUUAACUUUCUAUAAUUUUCAAAACAAAAUUCAUAUUUAACCGCGAACUUUGUUUCUUAUUAUGAUUUGCUUUCAAUUAUGUUUUUGAGAUAUUAUAGAUUUUAUUCUCUUAUUUUUUUUUUCUUAGAUUUUGUUUUCCAUUUUUUUUAGAUAAGCAACUUGAACUUUUACAUAAUUUGAUCCAUUCGUAGUGAUAAACAUUUCCUUCAAACCGUUUAGUCAGACACUCUCAUCAGACCGUCUCAAAAUCUUUAUCCUAGUUAAGAACACAAACUUAACACAAAUAAUAGUUAAAAUCAAAAGUAAACCGAAUUAGAUAAAUCUCAAUUAAAAUACUAAAUUUACAUUAUUAAAGUUUUAAAAUAUAAAUAAAAUUAUGCUUAUCAAUAAUAUAUCAUUAAUUAUUCGUUUAACGUGAUUGUUAGAACACUAUUAACAUUAAUUUGACGAAAAAAAUAUUCAAUUCAUUAAAAAUUAAACUAAAUUAAGAAAAUUUAAAAUAGGAGUAACGAAAUUAGAAAAAAAAAAGUCAUCUCAAGAGAGAAAUACUAUUAAAAACUUCAUAAAUUACAAAACUAAAAUGUUUGAAUUCGUCACUUUUGGAUUUAGUGUGGAUGAAAUCCAAUUGGUUUCAAAAUGAAUUUAGUUUUGUUUAAAUUUUGAAAGUGAUAAUGUUGAUGAUCGAGGAGAAAGAUAACUCUAGCUGUAACACAGAAUGAAUCAAAUUCCCGAAAGAAUGGAAUUAUAAGAUGAAUCCAAUUAAACACAUUGAUAAUAAGAACACCUAUGACCAUAGAUUCCGCCGAAGCUCGCGGUUCGGUCCCAUUUGUUACACGUGUAACAUAGAAUGUUCUUGUCGACAUUUUUAAUAGCACUAUGUUGAAAGAAAGUGGGGGUGAAGAGAUGGUUGUACUUUGGAAAAUUGCACGACCUUUGGUAAUGGCUUAAAGAAACCCUAAUUCUCCAAACACAACAACAAAGCAAAACCUUCUACGAGUUGAAAAGGGCAGAGAAUAAAAUCUAGAAGCUGAAGAUAUAUAUAGAACAUGAUCAAAUACUAUAUAUCAUCAUUGGAGGCCCUAAAAAUCUGAUUUUAUUCCCUUUCCAAAUUCUAUCUAUUGUGAUGUGCCCUCAAGUUCUUUCUUUCACUUCUUUUUUCAAAAUUAGGGUUCAUCUCCCACAUGCUAAAAUGUCAUAGCUGUGUUCUUCGGAACAUUUGGCUCCAUUCACAACUUGUGUGUCUUAUUAAACUACCUUACCAACCCAAAUAACUAUAUACUAUGAAGCAUCAUGCGUCACGUGAUCCUAUCGCUGUUUUUUCUAAUAUACUUUUAUCUAUAAACAUAAUGAUAAUAAUUAUACUAUAUGGUAAUAUACAUAAUGUUUUUUCAGAGGUUUGUCAUAAAUUAAUACACCAAGUAUCACGAUUUGUUAAUUAAAUAAUUAGUUAUUUAUCACUUUGUCGUAUUCCAUCGAUGAAUGGCCAAACUCGUAUUUUGUUAUCAGUAUGGAUCAAUCAUUCCUUAUAUAUUAUUGUCAUAAAAACUUCUAAAACUUCUUUAAAAUAAAUUAUAAAACUCUGUUACUAAAUCAUUAGAUAUAUAAACUAAUUUUAGAGAUAAAAAAUAAUUAUUUAUUAUACUAAAUUAAAUACUAUUUUAUAGACUAAAAAAUUAUUGAUACCUAAAAUAGUUUAUAAAUUUAUUUAUUUUUUAUAAAAACUUUCAUGUUAGACAUCACUAUGUUUCUAAAGAGGUCAGCUUAGCUGAGAUGUCAAGUUGCAUAGUGAUUCCUAACAUGAAAGCUUUUAUAAAAAAAUAGUUUCUAAAUUGGUAUCUAAUUAACUACUUAGCUACCAAUUAUUUAGAUUCUAAAGUUAAAAUUGGUAGCUAAAACUUUUGUAGGUAAUUAGAUGCUAAUUUAAAAAUUAUUUAUCAAUCAUAUAAACUAUUUUAAAUACCAAUAAUUUGCUUGGUCUCUAAAAUAAUAUCUAAUUUAAUCAAUAUAACAACUAAUUAUUUUUUAUUUCUAAAAUUAGUUUCUAUUUAAUGAUUUAAUUGUAUGUUGUAUGCUAAAUUUGAUAUUUUCAAUAUAAGAAAAGAAUGUUAAUUAUAGAAUGUAUCUAUACAUACCAAGUUGAGUUCUACAAAGUAAGUUGUUAGUUAAAAGACUACCAAUAAAGCUUUGACACAUUGCAUGGAAUGUCCAAUGAUCUUAUUCAAGACAUCUAAAAAUAGAAGUAUUAUUAUGCAGAAACAACUAACAAUCUUGCAUAUAGUUUCAAUACGUGUUUUAGAUGUGUGAUAUUGCUUUUCAAAUCUUUAAGUGCUAUAUUAGUAUAUUAUCAUAGAGGAAAAACAGAGACAAUGUUAUAUUUGUAAAUCAUUUAUAUUUGUGAAGUUCUCUCAACCUAUGAGUGUUUAUAUUUAUAUUAUAAACACUCUCUUAAAAAAACUUAAUUUAUCUUCAAACUAGUUUUUUCUUUAUUGUAAUUAAGAGUGGUAAUAGAAUAGUUGGAAAACAAAAUCAUAAGCGACUUAGUGAAAAAAAUAUGUAUGUUAUUUAUCUUAGGAGAGAUAAAGGAAACAAUCAAGAUUGACUUUAUGUACGUAUAUAAUCUUCUUAUUAUAGUUAAAAAAAAUAUUGAUUAAAGAAUAACUUAAUAUAACUUAGUUGGAUUGAACUAGUACAUGAAACAAGUCUUCAUUUCUUCCACUAUUACACAAUUACUUGUUUUGUUAUCACCUCAAAAGUUGUACGAUAAGCAUUUUGGCCUUGA
rnacentral:lncRNA from 1 species